UUUCCACCACCACCACCACCAAUCCAUUCACCCCCACUACCAGUUCAUUCUCCCUCACCACCAGUUCACUCUCCUCCACCACCACCAGUGCACUCACCUCCACCGCCAGUGCACUCACCUCUACCACCAGUUCACUCAUCCCCACCACCGAUCCAUUCACCACCACCACCAGUCCACUCACUCCCACCAUCACUAGUCCACUCACAUUCACCGCCAGUGCACUCGCCUCUACCACCAAUUCACUCACCCCCACCACCGGUUCAUUCACCUCCACCAUCAGUGCACUCGCCUCCACCACUAGUCCAUUCUCCUUCCCCACCAGCGCACUCGCCUCUACCACCCGUUCAUUCCCCUCCACCACUAGUGCACUCACCCCCACCACCAGUCCAUUUUCCUCCACCACCGCCAGUGCACUCGCCUCCACCACCAAUUCACUCACCUUCACCACUGGUCCAUUCACCUCCACCACCGGUGCGCUCGCCUCCACUACUAAUCCAUUCUCUUCCACCGCCAGCGUACUCACCUCCACCACCCGUUCACUCCCCUCCACCACCAGUGCACUCACCCCAACCACCAGUUCAUUCUCAUCCACCACCUGUCCAUUCUCUUCCACCACCAAUGCAUUCACCCCCACCACCCGUCCAUUCCCCCCCACCACCCGUCCACUCCCCUCCACCACUAGUGCACUCACCUCCACCACCAGUGCACUUACCCCCACCACCAGUCCAUUUUCCUCCACCACCAGUGCACUCACCCCCACCACCAAUCUACUCACCUCCACCACCUGUCCAUUCUCCUCCGCUACCAGUGCACUCACCCCCACCACCAGCACCAGUUCACUCACCGCCACCUCUAGUCCAAUCACCACCACCAGCUUCUCCAUCUUUAUCACCUCCUGUUCCCAUUUUCUCACCACCCCCUCCAGACUUCGUCUUGCCAUCGACCUUCGGGUUCCAAUACUCAUCUCCACCUCCGCCAAUGUUCCCAGGCUACUAAGCGCACUACGAUAUCAAACUCAUUGCUCGCCCCUGCAUGAAACUUUGUUUAUAAAUAUUUACAAUCUCACAAAAAUACACCCACUUUUGUUAGUUGACCAUAGCUUUUAAUUCAUGACAUCAAAGUGUAAAUCUUUUCAUAUGCUAUUCAAUGCAAUAAAAGGACGUUAUCGGCAAAUUGCAUAUCCAUUUUUUUUUCUUUUGUUUAAUUUGAAGAAUCUGAUGUGUGUGAAUGCAUACUACUACAAAAGAUCAAGCACCACUACAUCUAAUUCUAGGGUAAUUCUAGAGAGAUCAUAGUCUUCCUUGCAGUUUCCAUAAUUCUAUUAUAUUACCUUAUAACGUUGAUUAGUUUUCUAGACCGUCGUAAAAUGAGUGUUAGCUCACAUUUAAAAAAAAAUGUGAGUUUCUUCAAGAUCUUUUGUGUUCGUUUUAAAAGAAAAAUUUAUAAGCUACCAUUUAACUCUUAAUUAGGGGGUUUUAAGUUUGGAAACAAAAUACAAUAAAAUACUAGCUAUCGGGGCCUAUAUUGAUUUUUGACAGCUAUAAUGGAUUUUUGGCGGCCAAAACAUCUCUGUAAUAUCUUACAUGAAUUUAAAGAAGUUUUAUAGUGAAGUGUUAAUGCCAGAAAAUAGGUUUUAUGAUGGUGUUUGUGAAACUUUUGCAAAAACAAUUGAAACAUGAUGAGUUACACCUCACAAUUCUUGUAAGGCAUAAUUUGAUAUAUGUCCAUUUUUGUAAAGUUCUUAUUAGGAGUAGUUCAAUUUUGUGUAGGGUGGUGCUCUUCACACAUCAUUUUUUUUUUAGAGUAAAUUGUACAAAUGGUCCCUCAACUUUAAUUAAAUUGGAGCAAUGGUCCCUCAACUAAAAAUCCAUUACCUUUGGUCCCUCAACUUAUCAAAACGUGCAGCUAUGAUCCCUCAACUAAAAAUCCAUUACCAUUGGUCCCUGAACUUUAAUUCAAGUGGAGAAAUGGUCCUUUAACUUUAACCCAAUUGUAGCAAUGGUCCUUUCAAUAUAACUCGUUUUGACAAAUUUUUUGACAUAGUUGACGAAAAGAACCAUAAUUAUACACUUUGAUGAGUUAAGGGACCCUAAUUAUAUAAAUGAUCAUUCCAACAUAGCUUAUUUUGACAAAAUUUUGACAAAAUUGAUGAAAAGGACUAUAGCUACACAUUUUGAUAAGUUGAGGGACCAAUGGUAAUGGAUUUUUAGUUGAGGGACCAUUGCUCCAAUUUGAUUAAAGUUGAGGGACCAUUUGUACAAUUUACUCUUUUUUUUAUCUUCCACUCACAUUCUAUAAUUUUUGCCUUUUGAUCAUUUUUAAUUCAUUUGAUCCGACGGUAUUGAGACGAGCAUGUAGAAGGUAAAAGGGUGUGUGGAUAACAUUAGGGCCGUCUUUGAGAUUCCCUAUGCGAAAUUUAUAAAAGGACUCCUCGUUAAGAUAGUUACAAAAAAGUAAGACAAUAUAUUGAUGCUAAAAAACAAUCACUUAAAUCAAAACAAAAUUUAUCACUCACGGAUUGCAAGUUUACAAAUGUCAUUAAUUAUAAGUAAAAAAGCUACAAACAUAACCUUCAUUAAAUAAUAAUAAAAAUUCAAUCUUAAACAACCAAACAUGAAAAAAAUGAAAAAUGAAAAUAAAAAAUAAAAAAAUUCAAAACUCUAACUUUAAAGUUUCACUUGAAUAUUCUCUAUAAUAAAAUUGAAAAAAAAAAUAUCGUUUUUAGGAUGUUAUUAUUAACACUCAAAAUAUCUCAUUGUACUCCAAAUUUUUAUAUUUAAAAAGGAAAAAAAUUAUUCUUAUAAGGGUUCAAAUAUAGAACAUUAUUACAUAAUAUUAGAUGGCAAAAUUUUAGGACCCCUUCAAAUUUGGGGCCUUGUGCCCCCUCUAGACAAGACCACCCUGUUGUGUUAUUGUUGAAUUAUGUCUAAUGACAGAGACUCCAUGUAAGCAUUUUUUUUUGUAACAAAUUUAUCCCUUAAGUAAUUAGUAUUAUUCUAUAAUGUUAGUACCAAAUUCACGCAUCACUAUGUGUGGAGAAGAUGCACAAACUUGACUGCUUGUAAAAGAGUAAACGCAAGUAAGACAACAUUGGCACCAUUGGGGUACACCGACCAAAAAUUAAGUAUCAUUUGAGUUUUUGUUACGUUUCAUACCUCAGUCAUAAAUGAAAUAUAUUCAUCUACUUAUACCACAUUUGUUUUUAAUCUACCUCUAUCACAGGUUCUUUUUGCUAGGUUUUUGUGUUUGCCCUAUAACGUUUAUAAGUAUGUCAUACUUUAACCCUAAAAUGAAGGUAUCAUAUAUGCUUCCAUCGUUUUCUCAACCUCUGUGAUAUUAUUAUGGUUUUAUAGGUAUACACAACAUAUGAUUUUUUUUAAAACUAUUUUAUUUUAUUUUAUUUAAUAAAAAAGUACUUUCGUAGAUAAUUGUAAGUUUGAAUAUAUAUAAAUAUUUAAAAACUUAUGUUACUGGUGCGUUAGUUAAGGAUUUUUUUUUUUUGCAGAUUAGUUAAGGAAUUUAAAUAUAUUCUUUGUUACCUCAAAGAGUGAAAUAGGCACAAAAACAAGAAAAUAUAAUUGAACUCACUUAAAAUUUAGCAUAUGAUUUUGGACCUCAAUCUAAAAACCCAUUUUCAUAAAAUAUGUGACAGUUAUAUUUUUGCAAGAUCUUCCCAGUAAGAAAAUUAAUAUAAAUUAUGUGGAAGCGGUCUUGCAAUUUACUGAAUCUCAUAAGUGUUGUAAUUUAAGUUGGAAAACACAAAAAAUAAAUAAACUAGCAAGGCCUAAAAUACAUUUCGGAAGCCAGAACGGUUUUUUGGUCGCUAAAAUAUCUUUGGAAUGCCCUGUAAGAAUUAUAACGGAGCUUAUAGUGCAACAAAAAUGGCACGGAAAUUGAUUAUAUUGUAGAACUUUGCAAAAUCAUUAAAACUUAGGAUUAUAACUCACAAUAUUGUUAAAAAUACGAUUGUUGAGUACUUGAGUUUUAGCAUCGUUUUUGCACGCACAUCACAAAAAAUGUUAGGUAACGGGCCUACCAUUUGGUGACUCUUAUAAGUGAUUUUUAUAGCAUUUUAUGAUGGAGAAAUGGAAAAAUCUAUAAUAAAAUAGGAAUGAGGAUCCUCUUUGGAUCCUCUUUGUGAGGAUCCCGGGGAUCUUCCAAUUACGUCCAUUCAUCGUAUAUUGUAUAAUUAUUUUUCGUCAGGUACUAUUUAUAUUCAAUUUUAAAUAAAAAAAUUUACAAUGAUUUCUAACUGCACGAUGUAAAGAAAUGAUUGGAGGAUCCUCAUUCAUAAAAUAGUGGGAUUUAGAGCACAUAAAUAUCCGACAUCAAUUAAAAAAUUUCAACGGCAAAUGUGUAAUGUUCUGCUGACACACCCCGUCCCGAAGGAGGGCAUGCUGGCCGUCACGUGAGAGUGACGUAACCAUUUGCACAGUACGGAAGCUUUAAGAUACAAUUUAUAAGUUGAUACACCCGAAGGUGAGUCCUAAUUUUGUCCAAUCUGUCAGAACACCGUCGAAUUCCUCGUAGUCACCACACCUUUGUGAUUCCUGAACCUGGAGGGGCGCAAAACCAAAAUUGAGUGGGUCAGUAAAACAAUUCUUUUCCAAAUCCAAACAUUUCUCAAAACGUUGUAACCCCUCUUCGUAAAACCUGUAUACUUUCCCAGAAAUGUAAAAUAUAAAUAUACAUAUAUAUUCUCAAUACUUCAAUUCAUUAACUCAACAUUUUUCAGUACAAAUAUGCCAUGCCAUGUCGGAAUUCAACAGUUAAUUAUGGAUGCAUCAACAAUAAUCAUAUCAGGUGUAAGAAAGUGAUCAACCGGAGGCCCUCUAAUAGCCCUGUACGGUUGAACCUAGAGCUCAAAAUCUAUCACUAUCACUCUGCCGGAGUCACCUCUGUGACCUGUACGGCCUUCUGCACAUAAGUUACGCUCUAGUGCUUUCUCAUUAAUCAUCUGUGCACAUAAUCUAAGGUCACCCACCAGUCGAAAUCUCACUAACACUCUUCGACUGGCCCGUCGCACCCACUCCGCGUGGACUGUGCGACCAGCAUCUACUUGGAUCCAAGGCGAGCGUGCGAUGCGGUGAAUACUAUAAGCACUAAACUAUGGUGCAGGAUUUGAGCUCAAUAUACAUCAACAUCAUCAUAUCAGUAUUUAAAUACUCACCUGAUACUCACCUGUGCGUCCGCCGCACCAUUCAUUCAUAUGCAUCAUAUCUCAAUUCAUACUUUUCAUAUCAUUUCAUGCAUGGCAAUUCGAUUCACAUUUCUAUAUACUAUGCAUAUACUUUUAUGCAUGGCAUCUCAAUUCACAUUUCAAUAUACUUUUCAUAUAAUUUUAUACAUUGCAUUUAAAGCAUAAUUUCAUGCAUUUUCAAUUUCUGGGAAAACGGUAAGUAUAUAUGUAUACGGAAAACAAAACUGCCCACUCACCUGGAGUUCGCCCUACAACUCCCUAGCACAAUACGCCAAGCGUCAUGACGAUCGGCGCCUAAAACAAUAAUCAAUUCCAACCUCAGAAUUCAUAUCGAUAGAAUAUAUAACUUAUACAAAAUACGUCACUACGUAGUUCAAUCCGGAAGAUCCACCACUCAGAUUUUAAAUCCAUAACUUCCAGAGGUCCACAAUAUAUCUCUAGGAUAACUUCCUAAAAUUUCAUUACCAUCCAACGGUCGGAUCUCCGUCAAUUUCCAAAACUAAGUGACGGUUAACAUUUUAUUUUAUGAACUUACAACUCCAAUUCCGGAAGAUCCGUAACUCGGAUUCCCAAUCCGUAAGUUCCAAUAAUCCUCAAACAUUACGUAUUGCAACGUAUUAAAUUUUGGUAACGAUCCAACGGUCGGAUCAUCAAUUCACAUUUUCACCUAAUGCGAAAACUAUAAAACGUUAUUCGAACACCUAACCAACAAUCCUUAAUAACUUUCUCAUACGGUGCUCAAUUUGGGUAUAUGAAUAUACCACAGUGAUCUACUCGACGUCACGGACGUCGACAUAUUUUUAAAAUAAUAUUUUAAUGUAUCACGCGCCCCCACGCGCCAAGGAAGGCACGGGUCCACGCGCGCCCACGCGCACCUUCUUCCUCGCGGGUUCGCCGGACUGGUUUUUCCGGUGGCCGGAAAACUGGGGAAUUUUCAAAUGCUUCGUUCUCCUUCGUUUCUCAACCAUUUUCUUCGUAUAAUAUAUCAAUUUAAAGCCCUCAACAAGAAUCACAAUAUACUACUUUUAAGCUUCAAAAACAACUAAAUCUCACCGGAAAAAUCCAAGCAAAACCGGCCAAACUUAACCCUCGUGAUCCCGACGUCCAAAUCCUUCCAACGAAGCACUCCGAGCUUCCUUGGGACCUCACUAAGCUCGCUGUGAUCUUGUUUUAGCCUAAAUCGUAACCAUUUAAAAGAUCAUGAACAGUACAUAAACACGGGACCUUAAAAACUAGGGUUUUCCGAAGCAAAACUUACCUGAAAUGGAUACCAUCGUGAUCGUGAAGUCUUCAGGGUUCCAAUGGUGGUCUUAGAUUCGUCGUUGGUAUAGAUUUAGGGUGGUUUUGUGGUGGUCCGUGUGAGUUCGAAUGAGAGGGAGAGAGAACUGAGAGUUUCGUGAGGGAGGAGAGAGAGAGUGACAAGGUACGGGAAUUGGGGAAGGUUUUGAGGGAUGUGGGAUCCCCCCGUGUCCAACUCAAUCUCAAUUUCAAACUUUUAACAUAGAGUCUUGGUUUAGGUUUCUAAAACCAAUUAAUAUUCCAAUUCACCAAAGUUUAAGAACCUUAAGUAAAAACAAGUGUCCAAAUUACGUACUUUAGUCCCGUUUAGGGACAUUUUCGUAACUUCACGUCCUCGGAAUUAAAAAUUCCGGGACGGGCUGUGACAAUCUUCCCUCCUUAUAGAAUUUCGUCCCCGAAAUUCCAGCAAUCAACUAAAUCAACCAUACUCCAACAAUAGCCUCAAAUAAAUCUCUCUCAUCCGAUUCUCUUUCUCCCACAUAAUUUUCUACUGAAUGAUUUCCUUCACAAGCUUUUACCACUAUUCUGUCUUAAUUCUCAGGACCUUCUUUUUCCAAUCCCAAGUCGUCCAUAGCUCCUUACUAAUCAGAUCCGGCUUAAUUCUCAAUAGUUGCACCAAAGUCCCAUGUAACGACUCUGCCACUUAGUGACAACGCAUCGAACACAAAAUACAUUAUGUGCCUUAGCCAAUUCUGAAGGCAUCACAAACUUGUAUGCAACUUCGUCGAUUCCUUUAAUGAUCAAAACGGACUGAUGUGUUCAAGACUUAUCUUGUCUCCCUUUCUGAAUCUUACUAUUUCUGUUCAUGGUGAAAUUUCCAAAAAUAUCAAACCAUUUACCUUACACACUUGAUUAGUGGCAUAUCCAUCUGUUAAUCUCUUUUGUCAUUCCUGGCUACUUUCAGGUUAACUUACUCACCUGAAUAUUUUGAGGAGACUCAUCCAUAGUCUCAGGGCCCGCAAGAACUCUUUUGACAACUUCUGUCCAACACAAAGGUGUACUAUAAGGUAACUUGGUAACCAAGCUUCUUGUACGCUAUCCAAAACUUAGAAGUAACCAACAUACUCAAAAACUUAACAGUGUACAUCGUCAAAAUUGCUUUCUUUAAUUCCACAUAAUUUGGCACAUACGUCCCAUUCUCUUGCAUAAACAUACCAUCCAAUUCUGCCUCGGUUAAUUCUUGAAUUCCUUCGUCAAGCAUUUGAGUCUCGAGUACGACCUUACCAAAUAGGCCUAACUUGAAAUUUAACAAGUACAACUUCUUCUCGAUCUUCCAUUCUUAAUUUUUUUUUUCCGUUGGUUUUCAAUCCCCAAGAUGAUACUCUUGGCAAACAUGCCAGACAUUAAUCUUACUGUAGUCUUCUCACCAAGUGCUUCAGCUAGAACAAACUUUACGAUCACCCUGAUCGUACAAUCAUGUUCAUUAAGCAAUACAAGUCACAUUCGCUGCCUCAUAUCAAAAUCCUUCCGAGUAAUGAAUAUUGAAGACUUUUUGGAUUCGUAAAAAUCUUGCAUUCUUACCAAAUAUAAUGCCUUCAUAACUUCACAGCAAGAAUGGUAAUCAUGACUUCCAAGUCACCCGUAGGGUAAUUCAUCUCAUGAGAUUCCAUUUGUCAUGAAACGUAUGCAAUCACCCUAACAUUUGCAUCAACAUGCCUCCAAUACCAUUCAAGAAACAUCACUAAAAAUUUAUGAUUACCACUAUCUUCUAGGAAUACCAAAAUACGUGCAUGAGUGAGGAAAUACUUCAGUUGUUGAAUCCUUUGCUCACAAUUUCCUUCCCACUCAUACAUGACCUCUUUUCUCAACAGUCUCGUCAAUGACAAAGCAAUGACUGAAAAAUCUUUCACAACCAUCCAAGAUAGCCUGGUAAGCUAAGAAAUUCCAAAUCUCAAUUACGACUCGUGGUUGUUCCAAAUUUUAAUUUCUGUUACCUUUUAAGGUUUCACUUGAAUACCUUAAGAAUAUAUAACAUAUCCCAGAAAUGCUGCUUGAUUCAUCCAACAUUCGCAUUUGCUAAACUUAGCAUACAAUCGACAUUCUUCCAAUCUUUGUUCUACCGACUUAAUACGUUUACAUGCUCUGCUCUGGCUCAGAAUAUGCCAGAAUAUCUUCAAUGAAAAUGAUAUCUAUUUAUCAAGGCAUUAUUGGAAUACUUCAUCCAAUAAUUCAUAAAACAGCAUGAGUAUCCAUAUAGCAUCACCAAAUUUCAUAAAAACUAUAACGAGUCCAGAAAAACAAUCUUAGGAACAACGUUACUCAUAAUCUUCAAUUGAUAAUAAACAGACCUCAAGAUCCAUUUUCUUCCUCACCAACAAAUUGGGGCUCCUCAAAAGUGUUGUACUAGGUUGAAUAAAACUUUUAUCAACCAAUUCUCUCAACUGAAUUUCCAAUUCCCUUAACUCAUCAUGAACCAAUCUUUAACAUAAAUUUAUACCUGGCAACAAUUCAAUAGUGAACCUCAUAUCUCUGCCUGAAGGCAAUCCAGGUAUACUUUCAAGGAAGACAUCAAGAAAAGUCUAACUCUUUCGACAUUAUUCACACUACUCCAAACAACAUCAUUUAGCACCACAUGAGCUAAGUAUUUUUGACAGCCUUUCGAAAACAAUCUCUUUGCUCUCACAGCAUAAAUAAUGGCUGAACUCAAUCCACUUUGCAUACUUACAAAAGUAAUCUCUGGUCAUCCAGAUCGAUGGAAAGUACUGGUUUCCCUUAACAUUCCGUCUUGUCACAAUUAUAACCAACCAAUCUAAUGGAACAGAAUUAACUGAUACAAUACAUACUCUAUUACUACUAAGCAUUCUGAAUAAGUACAACACUAACAUAAAAUAACCUACCGGUUUGCUUGCUUAAUGAAUCCACGAAUGAGUUAUUAAUAUUACGGUCUGCAGCCCGCAAUACUGAUAAAUCAUCGUUGUCUCAAUAAGUAGGCAACCACUCUCAAAGAUAUAACAUUACUAAUUUGUCACUCAAUGCAAAAUACAUACACUCGUCUCAACUACAUUUAUUUACUACUCUUUAGGUAAUAACAUACAUAAUAAGAAAUAUAUCAGCCGAAGUCAACUAGAAUGACCAAUACGGCUGAUUCAACUCUUAUCUCAAUAAUACGUCGGCCGGAUCCACUCCGCGUGGUCGGUACGGCCGAGCCUAUAACUCACCAAUUUCUCAUGCGUCAGCCAGAUCCACCUCUCAUGGUCUGUACGGCUGAACAUAUAACUCAUCAAAUCUCUCUGUACCCACGGUCAAUCCGACCAAACUACUAAGUCCAUAAACCUGCUGAAUUGAUACUACGAUGUCAUAGAAAAUUGUUGGGUACAACUGAUUUUAGGGACGAUUCACAAUUCUGUGUCCCCUCUGUUCACAUAAACACAUUUAUUAAUUUCACACUUCCCAAAGUGUUAAUUUUUGUACCUGCUGCACAAGGUACAUUUCCUUUACUCGAAACACCUUGUCUCAAAUAUCUGGGAUUACCAGUAUAUCCAUCACUUUUACUCUGACCAGCGACAUUAAAACCUCAGCUGGAAGAAUUAAUUCUAGCUUCACUUCUUUCGAAGCUCUGAAUCUUUCUAUAUCCUUGAUAUGACGAAUCAUUAACUUUAUCGUCAACUUCCUUGAUUCACAUUUGCAAACUCUUGCUUACUACCAUCGAUAAAUGCCGGAGGGAUAAACUUUUCCUUAAACAAGUCCUUAAACAAUUCUCAAUCGACUAUUCCUCCGGUGACAACAAAUCAUACUCCUGUUUCCACCAGUAUACAAAUUCAUACCCAAAACCAGGUAGUCGUCUCGACCCCCUGUCAGAAGGAAGAUUCCUUUGACUUGCAUAAUCUGAAACAUCUUUUCCAAAUGGUUAAACCGUUACUUCGCUCCCUCAGGUUCAUCAUUUCAUAAGGUGAUUCAAAUUCGACUCAUAACCCGUCUUAAAAUGUCCCUUUAGACAAUAGACUGAAUCACCAUAGUAAUAGUUUCCCCCUAAACCGCUAAAUCAGGGAGACUAAGUUCCUCUAACUACGUGGCUUGCUACGAGGCGGUGUAGUUCUGACAGAAUUCACUAGAACUUCUCAAAAUGUCCAAGAUUGCAACCAUGCUCUGAUACCAACUGACACACCCCGUCCCGAAGGAGGGCAUGCUGGCCGUCACGUGAGAGUGACGUAACCAUUUGCACAGUACGGAAGCUUUAAGAUACAAUUUAUAAGUUGAUACACCCGAAGGUGAGUCCUAAUUUUGUCCAAUCUGUCAGAACACCGUCGAAUUCCUCGUAGUCACCACACCUUUGUGAUUCCUGAACCUGGAGGGGCGCAAAACCAAAAUUGAGUGGGUCAGUAAAACAAUUCUUUUCCAAAUCCAAACAUUUCUCAAAACGUUGUAACCCCUCUCCGUAAAACCUGUAUACUUUCCCAGAAAUGUAAAAUAUAAAUAUACAUAUAUAUUCUCAAUACUUCAAUUCAUUAACUCAACAUUUUUCAGUACAAAUAUGCCAUGCCAUGUCGGAAUUCAACAGUUAAUUAUGGAUGCAUCAACAAUAAUCAUAUCAGGUGUAAGAAAGUGAUCAACCGGAGGCCCUCUAAUAGCCCUGUACGGUUGAACCUAGAGCUCAAAAUCUAUCACUAUCACUCUGCCGGAGUCACCUCUGUGACCUGUACGGCCUUCUGCACAUAAGUUACGCUCUAGUGCUUUCUCAUUAAUCAUCUGUGCACAUAAUCUAAGGUCACCCACCAGUCGAAAUCUCACUAACACUCUUCGACUGGCCCGUCGCACCCACUCCGCGUGGACUGUGCGACCAGCAUCUACUUGGAUCCAAGGCGAGCGUGCGAUGCGGUGAAUACUAUAAGCACUAAACUAUGGUGCAGGAUUUGAGCUCAAUAUACAUCAACAUCAUCAUAUCAGUAUUUAAAUACUCACCUGAUACUCACCUGUGCGUCCGCCGCACCAUUCAUUCAUAUGCAUCAUAUCUCAAUUCAUACUUUUCAUAUCAUUUCAUGCAUGGCAAUUCGAUUCACAUUUCUAUAUACUAUGCAUAUACUUUUAUGCAUGGCAUCUCAAUUCACAUUUCAAUAUACUUUUCAUAUAAUUUUAUACAUUGCAUUUAAAGCAUAAUUUCAUGCAUUUUCAAUUUCUGGGAAAACGGUAAGUAUAGUAUAUAUGUAUACGGAAAAACAAAACUGCCCUCACUCCUGGAGUUUCGCCCUACAACUCCCUAGCACAAUACGCCAAAGCGUCAUGACGAUCGGCGCCUAAAACAAUAAUCAAUUCCAACCUCAGAAUUCAUAUCGAUAGAAUAUAUAACUUAUACAAAAUACGUCACUACGUAGUUCAAUCCGGAAGAUCCACCACUCAGAUUUUAAAUCCAUAACUUCCAGAGGUCCACAAUAUAUCUCUAGGAUAACUUCCUAAAAUUUCAUUACCAUCCAACGGUCGGAUCUCCGUCAAUUUCCAAAACUAAGUGACGGUUAACAUUUUAUUUUAUGAACUUACAACUCCAAUUCCGGAAGAUCCGUAACUCGGAUUCCCAAUCCGUAAGUUCCAAUAAUCCUCAAACAUUACGUAUUGCAACGUAUUAAAUUUUGGUAACGAUCCAACGGUCGGAUCAUCAAUUCACAUUUUCACCUAAUGCGAAAACUAUAAAACGUUAUUCGAACACCUAACCAACAAUCCUUAAUAACUUUCUCAUACGGUGCUCAAUUUGGGUAUAUGAAUAUACCACAGUGAUCUACUCGACGUCACGGACGUCGACAUAUUUUUAAAAUAAUAUUUUAAUGUAUCACGCGCCCCCACGCGCCAAGGAAGGCACGGGUCCACGCGCGCCCACGCGCACCUUCUUCCUCGCGGGUUCGCCGGACUGGUUUUUCCGGUGGCCGGAAAACUGGGGAAUUUUCAAAUGCUUCGUUCUCCUUCGUUUCUCAACCAUUUUCUUCGUAUAAUAUAUCAAUUUAAAGCCCUCAACAUGUAGAAUCACAAUAUACUACUUUUAAGCUUCAAAAACAACUAAAUCUCACCGGAAAAAUCCAAGCAAAACCGGCCAAACUUAACCCUCGUGAUCCCGACGUCCAAAUCCUUCCAACGAAGCACUCCGAGCUUCCUUGGGACCUCACUAAGCUCGCUGUGAUCUUGUUUUAGCCUAAAUCGUAACCAUUUAAAAGAUCAUGAACAGUACAUAAACACGGGACCUUAAAAACUAGGGUUUUCCGAAGCAAAACUUACCUGAAAUGGAUACCAUCGUGAUCGUGAAGUCUUCAGGGUUCCAAUGGUGGUCUUAGAUUCGUCGUUGGUAUAGAUUUAGGGUGGUUUUGUGGUGGUCCGUGUGAGUUCGAAUGAGAGGGAGAGAGAACUGAGAGUUUCGUGAGGGAGGAGAGAGAGAGUGACAAGGUACGGGAAUUGGGGAAGGUUUUGAGGGAUGUGGGAUCCCCCCGUGUCCAACUCAAUCUCAAUUUCAAACUUUUAACAUAGAGUCUUGGUUUAGGUUUCUAAAACCAAUUAAUAUUCCAAUUCACCAAAGUUUAAGAACCUUAAGUAAAAACAAGUGUCCAAAUUACGUACUUUAGUCCCGUUUAGGGACAUUUUCGUAACUUCACGUCCUCGGAAUUAAAAAUUCCGGGACGGGCUGUGACAUCUGCAUACGUUUUAUGAAGUUUUGUGCGGCGAAAAUGACACAAAAAUAGAAUUUUCUAGAAUUUAGGAAAACUGAGUAAAAUGAUGGGAGCAUUUUUGCUCACCACCAUAAACUAUGGUGUAUACUCACCACACACCCAAUCAAUUGACACUUGUUAUUUCACUUAAUCUUGGUUAAUUUUUUUCAAAAUUGAAAAAUUAACAUUUAAUGUGAAAGUUAACUAGAGUUAAGUGAAAUGACAUGUGUUAUUUCACUUAAUCUUGGUUAAUUUUUUUCAAAAUUGAAAAAUUAACAUUUAAUGUGAAAGUUAACUAGAGUUAAGUGAAAUGACACGUGUCAAUUGAUUAGAUGUAUGGUGAGCAUACACCGUAGUUUUAUGGUGGUGAGCAAAAAUGCUCCCGUAAAAUGAUAGCCUACAAUCUUUGUGAGCAAUGCGUUAUUGAGUUUUCAUAAGAUCUUUUGCCAAAUAUGCAAAAAAAAAAAAAAAAAAAAAAAAAAAAGUUAUAGGCCACUUGGAAACGGAUCUCCUGUAUAAAUGUGGAAUAAAUAAUGAUGUUAAAAAAAAUAAACUAAGUGAAUUUUUAUUGACAUGUAAGUAUUCCUCCAUCAUUUAUUGAUUAACACAUAUAAUGACAUUUAGCUCAAAGUGAAGAGCAAAAAUAUGCACUGAAUCAUUUUGUAAAGAAAAAGAAAACCAAGAAUAUGAAUGCCUUCGAAGCUGUUUUUGGUAUUUGUUGUUCUUGACAGGUACGAAUUGCAAUGCAUUUUUUGCUGCCUUGCUUAUGUUCUCUGCAUAGUAAUAAGUUAAUAACCAGUUCAUGAUAUUCUGUUGACUUACAUAAAAAGCACGGCCAAAAGUUCAGUGAUAUAUUUGGAUGAAAAUAGUUUGUUUUAAAAAAAUGUCUGUCCGGGGCUUGUAACUCCAGCUACUAAGAGUAUUUACCUUAAAAAUCGAAACAAAGUCGACUUUGAGGGCGUGCAAUAUGUGCGACUGCAUAGGACCCCGACUUUUUAGGGCCCUGAAUUUUAAUAACCUUUUGUGAAAGUAGUACAUGUUUAUAAGACGCGGGAAUAUUAAAUACAAUAGUGCUUAGCUGAGUUGUCAAGCUUCCAUUAUUUUCGAAUCCCUGCCUUCAUGUUUGUUAUUUUUGUUUUUAUUUUCCAAUUGUGGUAUUAUAGUGUGUUUACAUAAGAAGAGUGGAAUGAGAGAAAUGAGAAUUGCACUCAUUCCAAGUUAUUCAAGUGUUUAUUAACACUUGGGGUUUAGGGUUGUUUCUCUGUCUCUAUGGGCAACGACCAAUAUGAAAGAAGAAAAUGGAGAAAAGAGAUGGGAAAGCUGAAAAGAGUUGGGGGAUGGGGUGCAGCGCGGACUUCACGAGAAAGUAAAAAGAAUUGGGGGAUGGGGAAGAAAAAUCAGAAGGGAAGAAGAAGAAGAAUCAAGAGUGAAGAAUCAGAAGAAGAUGGGAAAAAGAGAUGGGAAAUCUGAAAAGAGUUGGGGGAUGGGGUGGGGGCUUUACCAGAAAGAAAAAGGAAUUGGGGGAUGGGGAAGAAGGCAUUACAGGUGAGGAUUAGUUUAGGUCUAGUUGUGGUAGAUGGAUUAGUUAAUUCAGUCCAACAAAAACACUAAAUAUACAGUGCCUAAUUUUAAAAAGCCAGAAAGGCAAUUACUCAAGUUUGCGAAUCCAACAGAGAAAUUAUUGCACAGCCUCUCAAACAAACCAAACCAAACUGACCCUCCCUCUCAAUAUAAUCUCCCUCGUUCACCAAUUUCUCCUCAUCAGCCAAAAUAUGAAGGCUGUCUACUUUCUACUUUCCUUUCUUCUCUUCUCUUCCUUCUCAUCAUUCUCUUCCGCUCUAACUGAUGCCGAAGUGUCCUCCAUUACUCGCCGUCAGCUCUUACAUUUUCACGAAGGCGAUGACCAACGCGAUGAAAAAGAAUAUGAGGUUGAGUUGAACGUAACUUUCCCUCACACCAGGCUUAGACGUGCAUACAUUGCACUCCAAGCUUGGAAAAAGGCAAUUUACUCAGACCCUCUUAAAACAACUGAGAAUUGGGUUGGUGGUGAUGUUUGUGCUUACACCGGAGUGUUUUGUGCCCCUGCACUUGAUGACCCGAAAAUAGAGGUUGUGGCCGGCAUUGAUAUCAACCAUGCAGACAUUGCAGGAUACCUUCCGGUUGAAUUAGGCCUGCUGAGUGACAUUGCAUUGUUCCACAUCAACACUAACAGGUUUUGUGGUGUCAUUCCCAAGAGCUUUGCUAGGUUAACUCUUCUCCACGAGCUUGAUGUUAGCAACAACCAAUUCGUGGGAUCGUUCCCUGAAGUUGUUCUCAAAAUUCCCAACCUCAAGUAUCUUGACCUCAGGUUUAAUGACUUCGAGGGAAAAUUGCCUCCUGAGCUUUUCAACAAGGAAUUGGAUGCUUUGUUCUUGAACAACAACAAGUUCACAUCCACCAUUCCUGACACACUUGGAAACUCCCCCGUCUCGGUUCUUGUGGUCUCCAACAAUCGUCUAGAAGGUUGCAUUCCUCACACCAUAGGAAAGAUGGUGAACACCUUGAAUGAGGUCAUCUUCUCUGAAAACAAGUUUGGUGGGUGUUUGCCUAAUGAAAUCGGAUACCUCUCAAAUGUGACGGUGUUUGAUGUUAGCUCAAACACAUUCAACGGGAUCAUGUCGAAAAAAUUCGAAGGCUUUCAAAAGGUGGAGGAGUUGAACAUUGCACAUAACAUGCUAACCGGGUUUGUUCCUGAGUGUUUAUGCAACUUGCCUAGCUUGGGAAAUUUCACAUUUUCCUACAACUACUUCAAUGGUGAGGCCAAAAAAUGUGUGCCGGUUUCUCAGAAGGGCGUUGUGUUUGAAGACACAAACAAUUGCUUGCCGGAUAGGCCUAAACAGAAGUCAGCAAAACAAUGUCAAGUUGUAGUGAGCAAGCCAGUGGAUUGUAGUAAGGCAAAGUGUGGAGGUGGAUCAGGACCUUCAAAACCUUCCCUUCCUACACCAAAACUGCAACCACCUAUUCACUCUGCACCACCACAUGUACAAAUGCCUUCAUUCCCUGCACCUUCAGGUCAAAGUCCAGUUGUUCCAAUUCACCCUAAGUCACCACCGGUUCAUUCACCACCACCACCACCAUUCCAUUCUCCUCCACCACCUAUAGCAACACCACCAUCACCCGCAUCUAUAGGGCAAAGUCCCGUUGUUCCAAUUCAACCUAAAUCACCCAUACCACUAAGGCAAACUCCUCCACCACCAUUAGUCAACUCAUCCCCACCACCAAUUUACUCUCCCCCACCACCAGUGCACUCACCCCCACCACCGGUCCACUCACCCCUACCACCAGUCCAUUCUCCACCACCACCAGUUCACUCACCCCCACCACUGGUCCAGUUACCUUCACCAUCAGUGCACUCGCCUCCACCACCAAUCCAUUCUCCUCCACCACCAGUCCAUUCUCCUCCACCCCCAGUUUACUCUCCUCCACCACCAGUCCACUCUCCACAUCCCCCUGUACAGUCACCUUCACCACCAGUCCACUCUCUUCCACCACCUGUGCACUCACCCCCACCACCAGUCCACUCAUUGCCGUCGCCAAUCCAUUCUCCACCCCCACCAAUCCACUAUCCACCUCCCCCUGUACAGUCACCUUCACCACCAGUCCACUCUCUUCCACCACCUAUGCACUCACCCCCACCACUAGUCCACUCACCACCGCCACCAAUCCACUCUCCACCACCUGUGCACUCUCCGCCACCGCCAUUCCACUAUCCACCACCACCUGUGCAUUCUCUUCCUCCACCUAUGCACUCAACCCCACCACCAAUCCACUCACCACCGCCACCAAUCCACUUUCCACCACCUGUGCACUCUCCGCCACCGCCAUUCCACUCUCCACCACCACCUGUGCACUCUCCGCCACCGCCAUUCCACUCUCCACCACCACCUAUACAAUCACCGCCACCACCAGUCCACUCUCCUCCCCCACGUGUGCACUCACCCCCACUACCAGUCCACUCACCUCCACCACCUGUGAACUCACCACCACCACCUUCUCCUUCUCCUUCACCUCCUCCCCCGGUUUUCUCACCGCCUCCUCCAGAGCUCGGCUUUGUCCUGCCACCUACCUUCGGCUUCCAAUACUCCUCUCCACCUCCACCAAUGUUCCCAGGAUACUAAGCACUCUACAUUGCAACUCUUAUUUUUAUAAAUUUUACAAUCUCAGAGAAAUACACUUUCCACUUUUAGUUAAUUAUAGCCUGUACUUCAUGACAUCAAAGUGUAUGUAAAUCUUCUGCAUAUGCUUGCUUGUUUCAAUAAAAAACAUUAUUGGCAAACUUUACAUUUAUUUUUAGUUUGCCUUUUUUAUUUCAUUUAAUUCUUUUCGACGUGGAUGAAUGAAAUUGUCAAUCAGAUCCAAUCACAAAUUUAGUUUGCCUUUUUUAUUUCAUGUAAACGCUAUGAACUGUAACUCGCCAAUGUUUGGGAUUUGUUAUAAUUUUCAUAGUUGCACAUAAACAUAAUGGAUUAGAAGAACUUAACACUCGUUAAAAAAUGACCUUAUGUCUGACGCACUUAUGAGUAUGAAUAUGAUGAUUUGACUAUCAAGAAUCAAAAUUUACCGGAUACAAAUCUUGGACAGACGAGUGGGAAGAGGGAAUUGCUAUUGGAUCAGAUAAAUAAAUUAAGCUUUCUGUCUCGCAUGCACUCCGACUGUUAGACUCGUCUCUAAGGGACUCAAACCUCAUUUCAUCACCGUAAAUACUUGGAUUUAUGUUCAGUUCAUGAACUAUAGCUCGACCUUCAAGCAUGCUCACUACUGCAGACAUUGUAGGUCUUAAUGCCGGUGCUGGGUUGGUGCAUAGUAUAGCGACCUUAAUCAUUCUCAUUGCCUGUUCCUUGUUAAAGUCGGAGCCCAACUUUGGAUCGAUCAGCUCCAUCAGAUUUCCAGUCUGUUGUAAAACAAAAGCCUGCAAUAUACAAAAGACCCUGGAGAUGAACAAAAAAAUGAAAAAGAACUUCCACAAGAAAUGUCUUGAUUGUUGUUUUAUAUGAAUUUCAGAACUUUUUCAUUUCAGAAAUAUUUUCCGUAUGUCUCCGUCUCCCCCUGCACUCCUUUCAUUUUUUUCCCUUCUAGCCGUUGGAUUGAAACAAUGAAAGGAGAACCAAGGGAAAAACAAGGGGAGAUUGCACAAGGGAAAAACGUGAGGGUAGAAAUUUUGCCUUUCAUGACACCAAAUAAUAAGUUUCCUACACAAUUAAGUUCAUUUUCCUGAUCAAGUGUAGGAUAACACAAAGUUGGAUGACAAGUAUGUCAAACGGAAAAUGACUCCUACCAAUUUCAUCUGCCAAAUGAAUGCGAUGAAUAUCUUACCCAAUCUAGAAGGCAUACAUAAUUCUCAUAGGGCCGAAAUUUGAUGUUGUUUUUGCCAGAUAUGAGCUCUAGUGCAACCACCCCAAAACUGUAAACAUCGACUUUAUCAGUUAAAUGUCCCCAUAAUGCAUAUUCGGGCGCCAUGUAUCCUCUGCAACACAAAGGGGAAGUUGUUUUAUCAUAUCCUAAUUUAACUGCAGGAGACCAACACUCACUAAAAUAACUUUAGACACAUAUUCUGAUCAGCAAAUGAAGAAAAUCAGUGUGAAAGAGAAGAGUCAAGUACAAUUCCCAAUGAAAUGAAAAGAUGCUCACAUAGUUCCAGCUACUCGGGUGCUAAUAUGCGUCUUCUCCUCUUCGUCCAGCUUGGCCAGACCAAAGUCGGAGAUUUUAGGGUUCAAGUCCUUGUCAAGCAGUAUAUUGGUAGUUUUGAUGUCCCUAUGAACAAUUUUCAGGGUUGACUCCUCAUGCAUGAAAGCCAAACCUUUUGCAAUGCCAACACAUAUUUUCUGCCUUGUAUUCCAGUCCAAUUUCUUUAGGCUUUCCUCUGGACCUGAAUUUAACGAAGAUAAUAACUUAAUGACAUUCAUGAAACGAGUUAUAACUAUUUUCACUUCUAGAUUGUCCAGCUUACCAAAUAAACUAUGUGCGAGGCUGUUGUUCUCCAUAUAUUCAUAUACCAACAAUAACUCAUUUCUCUCAAUGCAACAUCCAUACAAUCUAACAAGAUUUGGGUGUCGUAAAGCAGAAAUCAUGCCUACUUCAUUCACAAAUUCUCGAUUUCCUUGCUUUGAUUUUGAAGAAAGUUGCUUAACUGCAAUAAUAGUACCAUCUGAUAAUUCGCCCUGCAAAUUGAAAUACAACACAAUCUGAGGAAUUCAGGUCAUCCGGAAAACUUUCUGUGUCAUAGGCAAAAAGAAUAUAAUAAGGAAAAGGAAAGUGCCUACGGGCUUUUUUAAAAAAGAGAGUUAUAGAAUACCUUGUAAACAGCUCCAAAGCCACCUUCCCCAAGCUUGUUCGCAGCAUCGAAGUUGUUAGUGGCAGCUUUGAUUUGUUUGAACCCAAAGAAACCAGUUUGCAGAUCUAAUCCUUUCAGAUCUGUCGUUGUGACAAGAUUAGCUAUUUAGCUCAGUGAACUGAUUUUUUUACGGAGAAUUUGGGGGACUUUUGGCUUGUAGACAAUGUUGGAAAGAAUAACCAUGGAAAACAAGAAACUACAAGAAGCAUAUACUCUAGCAAAUUUGAAUAUGGAUGUAACUCAAGUUGCUACCUCUUGUUUCCUUUUCUGAACGGUAUUUACAUUACCUUGUUCCCUAGUAGAUGUCCUGCGUUCCUUACAGCAUCGUAACCAAAGAAUGGCAGCAGUCACAAAAAAAAGGCACAACGCUGAAACAACUACAACCACAAUGUAUAUCUUCGUUUUGCUAUCAGCAGGAGGUUUGAAAUCUAGAAGUGAAAGCAGAGAAUAGAACAGUGAUCAACAAGAUUGUAGUCAAAAUAAUGAGAAAACUUUUAACUUAAAUUCUUACCGGACUCCACUGAGAUAGCAGAUAUAAGAGAACCAUAUAUUCCCCUUUCCGGAGCAUUACUUGUUCCUUUCCCGGCCCAAUAAAAGCGGAUCUCUAAAGUCGCAACAUUGACAACUGCAUUAAAUACCUUAAUCACUUCCUUAUCAACCCCUUGUGCUUCCUUUUCUAUAUCGAAAUCCUUCAAUACCAGUUUUUCCUGUAACAAUAUUACUACAGUAAAUCAUUCGACUUAAAAGCUAAGAAAUAAAGGGAGUGAUAAAUACAAAUAUUGGGAACAUUUGAGGAAGUAUAUACAGAAAUGAUUACCUGGAUAUAGACAUCAAAAAUUCGUCGUCCAACACUGUAAUAAGACCUGUUGUUUCUCAUAACUAUUUCUGCAAAGUGUAGUUUCACAGUGUAAUUUCCGUUUGCUAAGCAACGGGCAUAAUAUGUGAGAGAAAGAGGAGAAAUUCGGGCAGUUCUGUACAAUUCCGAGUUGUUCAUUUUGAGUACAGAGAUAUUUUUUGCUAUAUAGUCUUGGUCAUAAUUUAUAAGUCCAAAAUCCCCAGUGCUACUAAAUCCCCAAUUCUCUGUGUCAUGAACAAACUUUGCUCCGCCUCCUGAAGCUUCAUCGCCAUCAUACUUGAUGUUUCCGACAGUCAAUUGUUUUCCACCGCAAUUUAUAUGCACUGAAUAAUAUUCUAUACCGGGAAAAACAAAAUACAACAGGUAGAAUAUAGAUGGAUUUAGAACAAUAUUUUAUAUGAAAACAGAACAUACACUUCAGAUUCUAUGACAGGUUUAGUUACCUUUCGAACAUGGACUGAGGCAAUUGCUAAGAAUUCUACAUUGAUACAUCCAAAAUAAAGAAUCAUUAGCUUAUAAAGAAUGAAUGCUGAAAAAUGAGUAAUCCUGUAAACUGCAUUGAGUUUGGAGCUUACGAGUUGUUCUGUCUGUAAAAACCUUUGAACACGUUACUGAUGAAAUAAGAAACCAGUCAGUAACGUGUAUCAAACAGCAGAAUUCAUGUCUAUCUCAAGCAGGUUAACGAAAAGAUGAAGAAAUAGAAAAGGCAUUUACUCUUACAAGGUUUCUCGACAUGUUGUUGGGAUAGAGUUCUCCGAAAAAUUAUUGUAUGAAAGAUCUACUAUGCUGCACAUAAACAUGAAGUUCGUUCAGCAUAAUAAUCUGUAUACCAAGUUUCUAAAUUCUUUUAAUCAUAUGCAUUCUAUUUGUUGAAGCCUUGCAAGCACAGAAACUAAAGUUGCUAUGUACGUGAUAGAUAUGAACGGAACUUAACCAUAAUAUAUGAAAGAUUAAGGAUGAAGAAACGUACUAGCGACUAUCUCUAUUUUUUAUCCAGUCCGGAAGCCCAGUAAGCAGGUUACUUGUCAGAUAUCUGAUCAUUAACAAAAGUUAUAACAUCAAAGGGAAAACUUAAAAAGUUGGAUUCUUCAUGCAAUUUGAUAGCGAAUUUGCACUACUUACAUUGUGGCCAAUCCCAAUAAAUUUACAAGAUUGGGAAUAUUGCCUGUUAAUCUGUUGAAGCUAAGAUCCCUGCAAAACAAAAGGAAGGAGUAAGCAAUCAGAACUCAGAAGCCAUGUACUCAUGAUAUUGAUAACACGUAAAAAAAGUUUAUCAAAUGACAACUCACUAAAUCCAAAAAGGAACUGAAAAUACUGAGGUCGAAUCUUGAUUUUCUAUUCGUAUAGUAAUUGAAUCUGUUAAAAAUAGGUAACAUUUUCCCCCUAUUUUAACACUAUGAUGGUUAAACUAGAGAGCAGAAGAACAGAAGUAUUACAAAACUUGCAGACUUGUCAUAUUAGAGAUAUAUUGAGGGAUUUCUCCUCUUAUAUUGCAGCUCCUUAACAUCCUGCAAUGUGAAGCAACACAUAUAAGAAAAAUUAUUCACGCGCGCGCACACACACACGGAUUAUUCCAAUCGAAAACAAUACUAAAGCCGUAAAGAUAGCUCACAAUGUCUGCAUGUUUGUCAUAUUUGAUAAGUUCGGAAAAUCUGCACUCACACCGCUUAAGUCACUAAUGCAUCUGCAAAAGAUGAUCUCAAGAUAGUGAUUAGGUGUACAAGUCUCCUCAGCCAUGGUAUUUUAAAAGAAAUAUGAAAAGAAUCCGAAAGUAUAAUUGGGAACUUAGAAGACGGCACUCACAGGUAUGUCAUAUGCUUUAAUGCACUAAGGCUAGAAGGGAUAGGCCCUUCAAGACCACUCCCUUGCAUCUCUCUGUAAACAACACAUUCGGAAUGGAUUAGAUUAGAGGAAGAUAGAGACUUACAAUGUGUGCUAGAAAAAUCUCUUACAGCAUCUGAAGUUCUUUCCAACUGAGAAAAUAGUCAGGUAUCCUUCCAGUAAAGUUGUUACUGCCAAUCCAACUGCGAAAAAGGUGACAUGAACCUGAUAUGUUCCCGAAAAUAUCUUAGUUAUGUACAAUACAAUAAGGCCACUUACAGUACUUUCAGUUUAUUCAGAUUAGUGAGAGCCACAGGCAACUCUCCUGUUAGAUUGUUAGCGCGGAGAUAGCUGCAGUUAAACCCGUGCCAAGUCAAACCAUUGUCAGUUUAAUGUUUUACUUGGUUUUGCAAAUCAAAAAAUAUCAAAUAUGAAGUUUCAAAUAAAUAAAAAUAAAAAAAAUAAAAAAAAGGAUGAAAGAAGAAUGCCAGACAGAAUCUCCAUGUUAACCAAUUUCCCCAGCUCCGGAGGAAUAAUUCCGGAAAAUAAGUUGCUUUCCAAAGCCCUGAAAGCAUGGUCUCUUCACGGUCACGACUCACAACCAAAUGGUACAUCAAAUUAAAUGUAAAUGAGAUAACAUUAGGUAUGUAGAUUCAAAGCAUACAAAGCUUGGAGAGUAAUCAUGUUUCCCAAAUAAGCUGGGAUUGGUCCUGAUAAGUUGUUCACGCUGAGAACCCUACACCGCGUACAUUCAAUUAGUUCAAUCAUUGGCAGGAAAACUUAAAAUAAAAGAUCUCAUUCAUGAGUGAAGAAGACACUUACAGAAAUUCCAACUUCGUAGAAGUCCAUUCGUGCGGUAUUGGACCACUAAGGUAAUUUUGGCCCAGAUUACUGUGAGCAAAGAAGAAAUAGGUUUGAGGUUUAAAAUCUAAAACCGAAAACAAGUAGGGGUAAGCUCUUCAUACACUUUCUUAAGGUAAGGUAGCUUGGCUAGCGAUGGUGGAAGCACACCGUCAAGUUCCUGUGCUGUAAGAAAACUGCAGGACGAGGAAAAACAAUUCACAAGUUAUAAUUUCGUGCUGAGAAGCUAAAAUCUGGUGCUAAAAGCUUUUAACAAACCGGAUUGAAGGAGAAGUUCUUAUACGCUCUUGUAUUACAAUGCAAGAAAUGAUUACUAUCCAAAUCGAUUCAGAAGUUCAGUUUUAUGGUUAAACCCAAAUUUUCGUAACCCAAACAUUCAGUUUCUCAAAUCCACGAAUGCCAAAAAGGCAAUUGAAAUUACUAGAGUUUCUCCAAGAGAAGGUUACACACAAAAAAAAAAGUUUUUGAGUUUCAAUUUAUUUAUAACUAGCACUAUAUUUUAGCAGCUGAUCAGUGUGCAAACAGCUGCAUGCGGGUUAUAUUCAUCGGCUUCUCUCAACCGAGAGUCAGAUAGAAAAGUAAAAUUAGGGAGACCGGGCCGAUACAGCUGAAAAUGUAUUUCCAUUUCAGUAGGGAUUGGCCGAAGUUUUUCGUUUCUUGUUUACAAAUUUUUUUUGUUUGGCUGGGUUUUAAGUUGCUUUGAUAUGUAUCAUAGAUUCAUAACCUAAUUGCUUUACUUGCUAAUGAUGCCUCUGACCCAAUUACCAGCAAACAUUGUAAUCUAUAUCAGGAAAAUGAAUUAUAGUUCAACAAGAUUAAAGGGGCAUAAUAUAUACACGUACAUGCUUUCGACGUGGCAGACGUCGACAGAGAUGGAGCAGUUGCAGAAGAGAGUAUUGUUGUACUGAUCCGUAUGCGGGGUUGAGAAAGUUGGAAUAUUGCUGCAUGGGUCGCUGAAAUUCCAGUCCUUUUUAUUCAGUUGCGCAGCUAUUUCUCGAAGUGCUUCCACUGCCAUUACAAACACCAAAUUUGCCAUACACCAAAACAAAAAUAAAAACUUAUGAAAAGGUUAAAAGUUUUUUGACAAUCAAAAAUGCUUUUGACUUGCAGAAGCACUAACAAAAUUUUUGACGUGUUUCUAAUAAGAGAUAUAGAUACAAUCUCAAAAGCGUUUAUGAGUAAAAGUGUUACAUACAAAAGAAAUCCUAACAAGUUUUAAAGUAGUAGAAAACGGCCUACCCUCAUCAUCUGGAAGAGUCAUGCUCUGUGCCUGUCCUUUUGAGCUGACUGUUCCCAUAUUGCUUGUUAGCAAUGCGAGCACAAUAACAUGGCUGAGAAAGAUCACGUCCAUUUUUCUUCACCACCAACUUCACAAGCAAGCUCUAUAUCAACUGUGUAAUCCCUUUUUAUAAUAUUGUCAUCCAUGGAAUCAUGAACUAUCAAACUUCCAAAACUUCUCUCACUUUUCAAGCGACCCUUUGUUUUUAAUUUGUUUGUGAAUAGACUUUGAUUCAUUCUCCUUUGAAUUGAUUAUCCAAAUUUCGAGGCCCCAACAUGUGCACAUAAGAAAGUGCAAUUUGCGCAUGGUUAGUAUUUUUUAAACGUAUUGAUGACUUGUAACUCAACUCAAGCAGUUGAAAAUUAGCGUUUAUUCAUAUGUGCCAAAGGAUCCUCUCUGGAUCCACUUUGUGGAGAUCUUAGGGAUUCCUAUAUCUUAGUUGUUCAUCAUACAUCGUGCAGUCAAUUUUCGUCAAAUACUAUUUAUAUUUAAUUUUAAAUAUAAAAAAUUAAAUAAUUUCUGACCACACGAUACACAAUAAAUGAUUAAAAUGUAAAAAUUCCUAAGAUCUCUACAAUUUAAAUCUGAAUAAGAUCCAAAUCCAUUUUUGUUCUAUUCAUUUCGGGUAGGUUCUAUUCCCCUCUCCUCAGUGUACGUGUUUAGAAACGCGAGGCUGUACUUGAUUGUUUUUACAGGCUGGUUGUGCUUUGGAAUGUGUAAGAGACAACAACUGCUAGGCGCAUACUACGACUUCCUAAUGAACAAGGCCUCCCUUGUCCUCCAUAAUUGUAAUUUGGUAGUGAAGAGGGUGACGCUUGACAUUUGGUGCUGUGUCUUUAGUCUUUUCUCCCCUCUUCACUGCUUUCUGUUUAUCUCCUCUAGUUGUUGCCUCCUGGUAGGCUUCCUUGUGUUUUGGCUCCGGCCCUAGUUAUGAAUUUAUCCAGUUUCUCAAAAAAAAAUAUAUAUAUAUAAAAAGAUUUCAGGUUUGAUAUUUUGAACUGAUAAAUUUGCUUGAUUGUAAUCACAAAUAAAAUAAAAUUUCCCAUAAUCUCUUCGGAUCUGAAAAAAAGUGGAUAACCAUAAAUCAGUUGUCUCCCCUUUAAAAUAAAAGGAAAACUAAUGAAAAGGGCUUGAAAACUUUGAGUUUUAAUGAUAAGGACAAAAUAAAGGGUAAAGUGAAUAGUAUCAGGAUUGACUUUUUAAUGUAAAAAUGUGAUUUUUCGUUAAAAUGAACAGUACCAGAUGUUUUUCAUUAAAAUUCCCUUUAAUAAAAAAGGAAGAGACAACGACUGCUGGAUUAGUGCUUAGGUUUACUAAGGUCAACCAAAUCGUAUACAAAUCAAGUUGACCUUGAUUCGCUCAACAUUGCUGAGAAGACUACAGUCAAUAUGUUUAAUCUCUCCCUCUUAUUUUCCUAAUAAUGAGUUAUUUAUUUCAAUUCACAUAUUUUUCAAACUGUGCAUUUCUUUUCUAACAGAUAUUACUUUAGUCUAAAGAAAGCAUUGGAAUUGGCACUGUUCUUUACUGUUCAUUGGACCUGAUUUCAGUUUAUUUACAAGAUUGCCACCGCCUCUUCAGUUUCAGAUUGAAAAUUUCGAUUUAUUUACGAAAAUUACCACCCUUCAGCGUGCACUUGUCGAGCAUCGUAGAAAGCAAACCCGACUUUUGUUCUAGAGAUCUCUUCGACGACAAACCCAUGUUGCUCUAGAGCUCUUCAACGACAAAGUCGAUUCGGCGCCUCACCGUCGCACACCUCGCCUUCCCCUCGCCGUCGCACACCUCGCCUUACCUCGCCGCCGCACUCCUUACCAAAACUCGAAUCAAUGGUAACGUGCCAAUUGUAUAUAUUUUUUGUCGAUUUUUAUCAUUAUUCUGGAAAUUAGGGUUUGAUCUAAAUUUGGUGUGGCUGUGCUUCAGCCAAAACUCACGGAUUAGGCUGAGAUUGAGAUAUAUGGGAGGAUUUGUCGACGGAUUUCGGGGAGAGAGGCGUGGGAUGGCAGGGAGGGAAGGGAGAGGGAGGAGUGAGGCUGCCAAAAAGGGGUUAGGGUUGAUUUUCUCUCCUCAAAUCAAUUGUUGGUGUCGGUGAUUGAACGAUCAUUGGUUAGAGGGGAACUUUCAUUAACUUUGUUUCGGAACCGGAAUGGGGUCGAUGGGACCAUGCUCUGUUGCACGUUCAGAUGAGUGAUUUCAGGGAUUUGGGGUAGGGAGAGUGAUUUCAGGGAUUGGUAAUCCCAUCCCGUGUUUUCCCCUCAUCUCUGUCACACUCAACCUCUCUCUAAUCCUUUCUCUUUCACUCUCUUUCAGACUCUUCCUUUCUCCCAACUCUCCAUCUCUCAACUUUAGUGCUAACCCUAAUUUGUUCUUUCAUUCCUCAAUUUUCUCCAUCCGAGCAAUGAAAAAUCGAACUGGGUUUUCAGAUUAUUGAUGCUUCACGGACAGAGAAUGGUAUCUUCCUUUGAGGAUUUUGUAUUUGGAGAAUGUUGUUUCCUUUUUUUGGUGUGUUUUUGGCUGUGUUGCAUAAGUUAGUCUCUUUUGUUCUAAGUUGUAAAUGAUUAUGCUUGAUUUGUAUGCAUUCUAUGUUGGUACUGAGGUUUACAAUUUUUUUAUUUUUUGGUUUUUAUUUUUUCUCCCCAAUUGUUAUUUUCCUUUUACUGUAUAUUGUAUCUUCUGUUUGGGAAUGCCUCUGUUUUUUUACUUGCUGAGAAUGCCUCUGUCAGGGGUGGCUCAACAGGACCGCGAAAUCUGGAAAGGGGCGAGGGGGUUAGCAGAGGGGGGAUUGGGUAUGUAGCAUCAGGGCUAGGUUACCAAGAUGGUGUUUGGGUGGGUUUGGCAGUGGGUCAUAUGGGGGAGGGUGGUGAUGCACUCUGAACUCACGAAGGUGCACAAACAUUACAAGUGCAUCACCAUAAAAAAAAUUCAUAUUUAUUUGUUAUACCCUUCACAGCAAAUAAUUUACAUGUGAAAUCUAGGUAAAAACAUGAUAUCUUUAUAGGCAUUGAAAUAAAGACAGCCACAGUCAUACACUCCAUAAGUAUUCCUCAUCACAGAGUUUUUUGAAACUUAGAAGACACCGGAAACGAUUCACAUAGCAGAUUAAGCUUAUAGAUGAUAUAAUAGUCAGAUAACAAAGUUCUCAACUGAGGGUUCAGAGAGACUUAUUUCUAUGUCCAAUUAUGAAGCAUCUUUUGAUUUUUAUUGAUAUAAAGACCUUUUCUUUCUCCAAUUAUGCCUCUGUCAACACUUUUUGGUUUAAAUGCACUCAUUUAGUACUCACAUUUAUCUGAUAGACCAGAUGAAAAAAGAGGGAAACAUGGAUUAUAUAUGCACGAAGGGCACCACAACAAAUGUGUGAAUCUUCUUGCACCACCGGUCUCCGCAACGUUUUCCAAAACCCGCUUGACCGAAGGUAAGCGAAUUUGGUGUUCUGGAUUAUAUUGGAAUUGAAAUAGUUUGGUUUCAUUAACUUUUUGGGUUAUUAAGUUUGUAUGCUCUGAUUGUUUUGGAAUUUGAGUUUGGAUUGAAAUUUAAUUUUGAUAUACAAAAGCACUCACCUUAAACACAGAGGAAUUGGUUUCGUAUACCCUCCAUCAGUCAAAUAAAUAACUUCAUAGAACCAGAAGCCACUGAAAUGGCCAGUGGCAUAUAUGUUUAUUUCUAUGUUUUCAAAUCUAGGUUUUAGAUAUUUUUCUUUGUUUUGGCUAAAUAUGAAAUUUUGGUUCCCAAUUUCUUAAAACUUUAGAAUUUUUUUUGCUAUUUAGUGUGACAAUAUGGGUCCAAGAUUGGAUUCUUCCAAUUUCUGGGCAGUGAAGACAGGGUGGUGACAAGAAUUCCAACUUCUUUGUGGUGGAAAUCAUAGUUUCAUUUUAGAUUUUCUUUUGGGUUUAUGAAAUGAGUUGGAGUGAUGUCUCAUGAUUAUGUGAAUGUUUUCAAAUUGGUAAGAGAGCUUUUGGGAAAAAGGGUCAGAAAGGAUUUGGAGGUGGAAUUUGCAGAGCUAAGACGACUAAAUUUAUUAAUAUUCACAUAAUCAUGAGACACGAUUAGAUUAUUCGGUUCACAACUAAAUUAAAAAUCAAAUUAGAAAACAAAUUCAGGACAAGAAAAAUUGUGAUGAUCCCCAAGAACAUAGGAAGUAAAAAAUUUUGAUGAUUAGAUUUUGAAAUUUCUUUUUUCCCAAAUCCAUAUUGACAUGGGUUUUUGGUUGUUUUAAGGAAGUGGAAGAAGACAAUGGUAUCUGCUUAACUCAAAGAUUUUCUUUCAAUGGUUAAUCAGUAUAAAUUUCAGAUUGAGUAAAGUUUGAUGUUUUAUGUGUUUAAAUAGGCGUGUUAAUUUUUUUCAAGUCAUAUCUUAAGCGAUUAGUUUUUGUACACGGUAUGAGUUAGUAAACAUAAUGACAGGAAGAAGACUAUGGUUGUUGCUCUUCUAUUUAACACAAUAUAUUUUGUAUUUAUAUUUUGCAUGUGAUCAUGUCCUGGAAAGAUAUCCGUUUAACACAUCCUUUAACAGGACAAGGAUGUUGCUCUUCUAUUUUCAUUCAGUCAACAGGGGGUUUCUGAUUUUAUAUUUUGUUGUUUAUAUGCUGGAAUUACAGGACAAGGAGUUGGACCCUGGAUCUAACGACUUUCUGGGUUAGUAACUUUUAUAAUAUGCUGAGUUUUUAUUCUAAUGAUUGUUUAUUUUUUAUCGUACUCUCUCUCAAUCUAAUUUAACCCAUAUGUGCACACACAAUCACAAUAAGUUUGGGUUCUGGUUUAGAUAUUUAUAUUUUUGGAUAUUGGAAAUUGUAUUUUCUUUAGAUUAAUCCCAGAACGUGUACCAUGUGGGUUUUUUUUAAAAUUUAUUUACUAAUUUUUAACUUUGGCUUUUAAGUUUGAGUUCUGGUUUUUAAUAUUUAUAUUUCUGUACAAUUUGAUGCUAUGAAAGGGUUUGAUGAUUUCUGAUGAUUUCAAUGACAACUGUUUCUUUUCCAAAAGAUGAUUGGGAAGCAGUUGCUAAGUGACGAUUCUCCGUAUCCUUUUAGAAGCCUUCUUCACCUACUAUGUUUUGGUUUGUUAUGAAAUGAAUUCCCUUUUACGUAAAAAAAAAAGAAAAAAAAAGGUACAAUGUUAUCAAAUUUGACUUUUAUAAUCAUUCGAAUGCUGAGAAUGUUGGGGUUUCUUACUGUUAAAUCUUUGCAUGUAUUUUUUUUCUUUCUAAUUUUCUGAUUUUCAGUUUUAUCUUUUUUUCUUUCUCAAUUAUACCAAGAUAUUGCUUAAUGCAUAGACACAUAAAUGAUUCAAAAAAUGGGUGUACCAAGAGAAAAAAAAAAUGUUGGAUUCUCUGCAAAGCGCCGAACCAAAGAGAGGAAUAUAUUGUGUAAAUAUUAUUGGUUAUUCAAAUACGAACUUCUUUGUUUGAUCGCUAGAAUUUCAGUAUAAAUAAGAUAUUAGUUAGAUGUUAUAGAUGAUCAAACUAAAACAAGUCAAUUUGCCAUACAGAAGCUCUACAAAUCAAUCUUCCUUUAUUUUCUAACCCAGCGUCCUUUCAUUUCAUCUUCGUUCUGGAGCCCUCCCUGUUUUCCACAUCUCCUCUCACACUACCUAAAGCCGAAACCAAACCCAGCUAUGCAGGAAUCAAAUCACAGUCUCCGACACCCACAAAGGUAAAACGCUGAAAAAAAAAUCCCCCUCUGUCCUGUCAUUCUCAUUUUCAGAAGUUAUGCAGACGGUUCCAUGUCUAAUGUCUUUGUGGGUUUUCAGUGGUGCAUAUCUCGAUUGACAAGGAUGAACAGAAGCGGAUAUAACAACAGUGAGACCAAUAUGAGAUCCAACAGAAAAAAAAAAAUAGCGGCGGAGAAGCCGAGGGCUACGGAUUCAAAAGGAAAAGGUAUGAGCCCUGGCUCUGUACUAAUAUUGACUUGGAUUAGAUGAAUUUUUGAGUUCUUUGCAUCCGUGAAUGAAGUUUGUGAUCUCUGUGUGAUCUCAUUCACUGAUCCCUGGAUCUUGAAUUUGUCUAAUAUGCUCAUGGAUGUGCUCUGUUUGUUGUCAUGUACAAAUUGGUGAAUGUUGAACAAAAUGCUUGAAUGUUGGAUCUGUGAUUUGGGCUUGAACAAAAGUACCUCUGUGCUGCCUGGAUCCUCCACUCCCAAACUUAGAAUGAAAGGUUAGUAAUAGCCUUUUCUUCACUUACUUUCAAAAUUAUUUUGUAAGUCAUUUUUGUAUCUGUGAGUCGUUUGAUUCAUUGUUGUAAUUUUAUAUAUUACAUGAUUGCAAGACUCUUGAUAUCAUUAAUUGUUGGUUUUGGUACUUAACAUUUUAGGUUUAAGAAAUAUUAAUGCCUGAAAUCCUGUUAUCAGUUUUUUCCAUUAAAAUUUUUCAAUUCGUUCAGAUCUUUUCAAAUAUGUAUAAUUUCUUUGUGCAAUGUCUCUUUUAGUUUCUUGGUCAAGCAUUUUAAAUCAUUACGAACUAUUUAGUAAAAGUAGUUUUAUAGAAAUGCUUGAGCUUCUUGGAAUAACUUUUGUUUGCAAACGUUUUCCAACUAUUUGUUAUCAAUAUUGUUCCUAUUUUUGAAAACCUUUUUUCAAGUCUGCUUGAAUCAGGACUUAUCGAAUCAAGGCAGCUGCAAGGAAAUUUGAGCUUUGGCAUGUAUAGAUACGAUUUUGCAACGAAGCUAGGUACCUUCUAGACUUAUUGGAUGUGAAGAUUUGUAUGAUCGAAUUUGUGAUUAAUAUACUUGAAUUUUAUUAAAUUUUUCAUGAUUUUAUAGAGUUUUUCGUUUAAAUUUGUGGGUUUUAGUUUAAAUUGUGGGUUUUGGAGAUUGAAUAUGUAAAGGCUGCUUGAGAAACUAACAAUAUACAAAAUUUGAAUGAUGCUAUUUGUUUCUAUCUUUUUUUCUGAAUUUGUCUGCUAUUGACUAUUAUGAUUUUCUCUGGCUAAUGGACUCUCUGAAAAUGUGUUUUGGCUUUUUUAAUUCAAAAACUAAAACUCAUUUCGUUUGUCGACGAUGAUUUGUUAUGAGGUAUUGCUAUAAAAUGGAGAAAUUAACACUGAUUCUAUUACUAUAUGUACAUCAGUUUGUAAUAUCUAAUCUUAAAAUAUAUAUAUAUUUUUUGGUAGUCAGAAAGAAGGCACUCAAAUUACUUCUGCUCCAACCCAUUUCAACAAUUUAUCAAGCUUUAGUUGAAGCUCCUGGGAAGCAUAUCCAUUAUAUUGCCAACCUUGAAAAGCCUUGGUAAAUAAUGUCAGUUGUUGCUUCUCCAACUCUUUUCCCUAAUUUAAGUUUUUUAAGCUUCAUUUCCUUUUUCCUAUAUGUAGUUUUGAUUGUGUUGGGAGUUAGCAGCUUUGGUUUCGACAUUGUUUUGUUUGUGAUAGAUCUCAAAAUUUUUGCAAAUGUUUUGCAAGUUGAGGUGCUAAAGAAUUUGCAUUAACUUAUUUUUUCAUUUGCCCGUGUUCUAAUCCAAAAGGUUUAAAGUUGGUUGAAUAUUACAAACUGGUAUAGGUUUGGUUAUAAUAAAAGAAGUAAUAUAAAUUAUUACUAUGACACAGUACAUUGAGAGAGGUCUUUUAUUAAUCUCUCUAUCUAUAACAGUACCAAAUAUAUCAUAGAUGAGACAAAUAUUUAUAACCAUGUUUAUUAGGGUGUUGGCAGUGGCGGAUCCACAGUGGGGUCAAUGGGGUCGCACGACCCCUUGGAAGCCAUGGAAACAACCUUAGAGAUCCAUUGGAGCUACUGGUAAGACCCCUUGGAGUUGCUGGUGAGACCCCUUGGCUGCACACCAAGUGUUCGACGAAAGGUCUGAAAGAACCACCUUCAUCUCUAUUCAAAGUUCAAAACUCAUUGAAGGAAUCUUGAUAAAGUUUGUACUUAUAACCCGUGCAUCAUAUCUUGUAUUGCAGUACACUGACCUUGCUGAGGCAGACCGUUCUUUAAUAUUAGAGCAUUUUCGGCAAGCAACAAUGAGAUGGAACCCAGAAGUGAGUGCUCAAUCAGCAGUUGAUAAUGAGUCUGUGAAAGAUGAACAAAAAUCUCAUAUGAUAGUUGCAACAGAUGCAUGCCUUCCGCUGCUUCCUUCUGGGGAGUCACCUAUAGCUGCCCGUGUUCUUAUAAAUUAUGAGUUACCGACAAAGAAGGUACAGUUCUCAUUUUUCCUUUUGGGAAUUGGGACUUAGAUGUACUGCAAUUUCACGCAUCAACUUAUGCUGACAGUUACUCUUGUUGUGCCAUUUCAAGGUCGUUAAUGAUUGAAUUCUGUGUUAUAACAGUUGUAUACAUGGGACUGCAUGUGGUUUUGCUACCUUAUGCAUUACAUACUGCGUCCCUUCUAUUUUCUCAUGUAUAUAUGCUUCCUUCCUUACAAUCCUCUGUGCAGGAAACAUAUACAAGCCGUAUGACAACUUGUUUGGCUGCAGGUUCGUCCUACCAAGUUGUACUACUUUGUUAGUUGCAUAUUAAUGGGGUAUGCUCUCUUGCGAUAACUUUGUACAAAUACGUGCAGAUGGGAUUGUAAUCAACAUGGUCGUCGGGGGUGAGGUAGUAACUCUCAAAAGUCUUGAAGAAAGUAGCAACCUGGUCAUAGCUGAGAUGCCCAUACAUGUGAGUUUGUUAAUGCGUAUGUUUCCCACAUUUCUUGUAUCAUAUCUUGUAUCGCAGGUUAUACUUAUAGCCGUUUCUGUUAAAAAAAAAUUGCGCGCUACGCGCGCUAUCCUUAUUGACCCCCCAAACAUUAUUUCCUGGAUCCGCCAUUGGGUGUUGGUAUCCACCAGGAGGGGUAGUUUACCUUGGGGGUUGCAACGAAUGUGGAGAUUCGUUAGACCAAUGAUCAAUUGAUAGAAAUUAUCAUUAAGCCAAGCAAAAAUGAAUAUUAAAUCUUAACAUUGGGAGAAUACUAGGAGUCUUUUUUUAUUUUUUUUUAUUUGCCAAUUCUAGGAGUCUCAAAACCAAGUAGUGUUAUAUUUUAAUAAAUUUUUAUUGAUUGACUGGAAGUAAAAAUCAUAUUUUUUUGGCAAAUACACACACGAACUUACACGCCUAAAUACUCAUAGCACAAACGAAUGAUGGACUCAGAUAAACACCCACAAAUACAUAUACUACACACAUUUACUAGAAUGGUUUCUUCUCAGAAUGCUUAUCAAGACCUUUAGUAAUAACCCUUCUGAAAUGGUGGAUGUGUUGUCGAUAUUAUUCAUCAAUUGAGUAUGCAUGAGAACUUCAAGUAAUCGUUGCCAUAAAAAGUAGAAGUGAUAACUCACACCAGGAAUCAGUUAUCUCAUCAGCAGCUUUAUUUUUAUCUAAGAUCGAAUUUGAUACCUGUAGGUGUAUAUAGGUUAAAUCGAUUGUUAAGAAGGCAAUUUAAUCACUUUUCAACGUCCGAUAUCUCCAUCUCCCUGUUCUAAAUUUUUACUUACUUGAAAUGAAUAGAUUCUAGGCGUUUCAUUUAGCAAAAUGAUUUGUGGAUAGUGCUAACUCAUUUUUCUUACGUUCAUAGUAAUAUGGGCACUUUUCUUGGCAAUAUAGUGCGUAGCGUAAAAUUAGAAUGUGAUUCAGUUGUAUUGAAUUUGUUCGAUUAACCACUGGUCCAUUUAUAGUUCAUUUAAUCUUUUGUAUUAGUAAGCUACUGUGUUGUGUCCUUUACAUUUCUUGGUAUACUAUUGAUAUGGAAAACAUCAUCUAUCUAUUCUAUUUAUCACAUGAUAUAAGAAUCAAAGUAGACUUGGCAUCACUUCCGUGGUUUUUUUUGUGUUAGCAGAUGCCAUCAAAUAGGCAAAAUCAUAUCGGCUACAAAGUGCAAUGAAUGUUAUAGGUUACUAAGUUUCGCCAUAUGCCUUCAUUGUGGCAUUGCCCUAUCUGUCGACAAGUAAGCAUUAUAAUUUCACUUUGUAGAAUGAUAUUAAGUUGACUUAUGGAAUAAUAUAAGUUUGUGUCAUACAUGAAAACUAUGAAUCCAUUUCAUCAUGCAUUUUUUAGUUAAACUACUAUGUUUUUGUUCAAUUGACUGCAACUUAUGCCGCAGUUUGCUUCACAAACCUCAACGGUUAGCUUCCAUACAAUAUGUUGCAAGUUUGAGGAUAUCUCUACAUCUUAAUUUCUGCUCUCUGGUUGCUUCAAGUUUGUAAUUUUAAGUGCUACACUGCCACUUGAUUUGAUUAUAAAAAUGUAAAACAAAAUCCAUCAAUGAUUUACAAAUUUGUAUUUGAUUUUUGAUGUUUUUCCAGUGUAAGGCAUAUGUUGCACAAGCAUGUAAAAUGGUACAAAUUAUUUGGUUUUGGACAAGAAGCUUUGAGUUUUACAAGAAAAAUCAAGAAAAUGUGUCACUCCUCUAUUCCUUUGUUCUUUCAGGAUUAUGUUUAAUUUAUUCAGGUUAAGUGUGUCUUAUUAUGCAGUUAAGGCUGGUGCAUUCAUGGUCCCGCAGCAAAGCGCGGGCAUAUUUUCUAGUAUAUACUUAAAAUUCAGUUUAACAGAUUUACUGUUAUUGAAUUUCUAUAUAUACUUAAAAUUCAGUUUAACAGAUUUACUGUUCUUAAGCACAGUGAAAGGACGGAUUUGCCCCUCUUCAAAUGUUCUUUUCCUUUCUUUAUUUUACGGUGGAACAGUAAAAAGACUAAAAUGCCCAUUUCACCACCCAUGUUUGUUCCACAUCCUUCUAAACCCAAAAUCCAAAUCGCUGUUGCUCACCCAAAACCCAGACAGCAGCCGCUGCCACUUCAUCCACCACCACGUUUUACAAAUUCCUCUUGACUGAAGGUAGGCAAAAAUUACCCCUCUUAAUCUCCUCAAGUAAAUUUGAUUAUCUAUUAAUUUCCCCUUAUUUUUUUAUUUUUUUUGUUUCAAAUUUACAUCGAUUGCUAGGAUUUUGGAAGGGUGUAUGGGUUUGGGUAAUUUUCGUAUUAUUUUGGUAGUUUGACCACUUGAGGUGGAGCUUUUGUAGACAAAUAUUGGCUCUCUCGGCAAAGUUCUUGUCUUUCCAAAGUGUUGAGGAGGUCAUUGAAACUAAACUAAUUGAUUAAGUUAAAAAAAAAUUAUAAUAAUUUAAAUUUUUUUUGAUAAUUUUGUCAUUUGAAUUUGAAUUGGUAUUGAUUUUUUUUUUCACAGAUUUUGGAACAACAAGAUGGGCCGUAGGUUGGCAUAUUUUUGUGGUCUUGAAUAAUUUUUGUUUGGCAUAUUUACUGUGAUUGGAACCUGGUUGCUUUUCAUUUAAAUAUUAUUGUAUUUUCGAUCUAUGGGCAAAGUUCUUGCCUUUCCAAAAUGUUGAGGAGGUCAUUGAAUUUGAAACUAAACUAAUUGAUUAAGUUAAAAAAAAUUAUAAUCUUUUAAAACAUUAUUUGAUAAUUUUGGCAUUUGAAUUUGAAUUGGUAUUGAUUUUUUUUUUUUUCACAGAUUUUGAACGGCGAUAUGGGCUGUAGGCAUAUUGCUGUGGUGUUGAAUGAUAUUUUGUAGUGAACCAAAAAGAGGAAUAUAAUGUGUUAAUAUGCCUGGUUUUUCAAAUACGAAGUUUUUUACUUGAUGCCCGAAUUGGACUUACAAUUACAAUUAACCAUGUUUGUAACAUAUUUAGAGUCUCUGUAUUUAGAUCUCGUAUAAAUACUCAGAAGACUCAAAUGUAAUUAUGUAAUAAAUGAAGAGGCAACUAUGUAAUAAGUAAGGAACCCUUAUUCUAUAAAAGGACUCCUCACUCUCCUCAUCAAGGAGGUCAAGGUUUAGGCCAUGGGAAGAGAGAAAACAUCUCAGAGAGGGCAAACACAUAAAAUAGGCUAGAGAGCACACUGCCUCUAGCCUUCUUGUAUAUUCAUCAUUCAGAGUGAAACAAUAUCAACAUCAGUGUGGACGUAGCCCAAACAUUGGGGUGAACUACGAUACAUCUUGUGUUCUUUACUUUCUUGCAGAUUCACGGUCGAAUUUACGUUGUUCCAAGAUCCCUCUGGUUUUGUGCGUCAACAAACCAAAUGUUGAUUGGUCGGUCUGUCCAGAUUCAGUUGAAAUUAACUCUAUAGCUGUGCUAAACUUGCAGAAAAUGGAAUUCACAUACAACAUGCGGGGGGAGAUGGAGAAACUCCACCGUGAGAUGUCGAAUCUACGAAAAGUAAUUAAGAGCUGUGUAGACACUAGACGUGCAAAUGGUAAUGCAGCAUUCCAUGAAGCAGGGAGUUCAUUCAGGUUCGAACUCUCAUUCAUGUUUUAUGGUUCUCCAUCAGAUGUUUUUUUGUCAAUUCUAGAGUCUAGACUCUUAACACAAUGGCACCUCAAUACAGUAAGCUUGGGUAUCAAAAUAUAAUUGUGAGAAGACGUUGUAUUUGAAGAGUUCUUUGUCAUUAUAACUUCUUUCGUUUAAUAUAAAGUUAUAAAUCUAUAGCCUUCAAAUUCUGAAAUAAGUGGAAAAUGAAUUUAAGGGUGGCAGCAGACAUUUCAGUUGUGAAAUUCCAUCCCCGGAAUUUCACCAAUUAUUACGUAUCUGGUAUUUUAAAACUCGUAUUUCGCGCUUAUGUAACUUUACUAGUUAAUUUUAAUUCCAUUAAUUUUAAGUUUAGUAAUUGAUUAGUUAUUGAGUUGGAAAUUUCAUAGUGUUUUUAAAUAGAUAUCGAACCCACGAACGUAUAGAUGAAAGCCGUUUGCGAGUCCGAAUUAUAACGGUAUAAUUACAGAUGUUUGAAGUUGUGAACUAUAGAUUGUGGGAAGCAUGGGUUAAAUGUUAAGUUAAGUUAGUAGAAAAAAAAAAAUAGAAAUGAGGGAACCUGUCAGAUUCUUUUUAAAAAGGGGUAUUAAAUGACCCAUUUGGAAAUAAAGGAAAUGCCACUUUCUUUUCGCCCUAAUUCGUGAAAACGUGAGGUCCUUAGCCAAAAUUCAAACCGGUUAAUUUCAGGUCAUUUCCUUCAUUUCCCAGUUGAUUUUCCUACCUCCUUCACCUGCAACUUGCUCAACUACCUUCCUCCUUCCCUCUCUACCAAAAAUCAAGGGUUUUUAAGGUUUCUUUCAUGUAGAACUCUAUAGGAGAACCCGAGGGUUCUCGACGACGAAUUGUCAUUCCGAAGAGUAUCACCAUUCACCAUCACCCUUAAUCAACUUCUCUUGGACCCAAGAACAAGACCCAACUGGUGGUUGGGGCGUUGGAACACCAAGGAAGCCGAAUUUAAGGACACCCACCUUAGGGUUUCGUUGGGUGCGAGACAAUUUGAGGGCCUUCCUGGCCAAAUUGGACUCGGCCACAGAUAUAAAGUUUACUCUACUUGUUGAAAUCUUUAUUCCUGUAAAAUUUGAGAAUUUUUGGAGAAAAAUUUUCAGGUGUGUGACAUUCGAUUUAUAAAAAUGUUGUUGGUUGAGUAUUUUAUCGAUAAGCUCCGCCACUUGAUUAUUCUAGCGAUUGAUGAUCUUACCAUUGAAUUGACACCAAUUUUAGUAUGCUAUGGUAGAUAAUGUUUAAGGACCUUAGGGAUUUACAAGUGAAAAUCUAGUGAUUGGAUAUUACGGAAUAAGUGACGUAAGAUCAUGGACCCUACUUUAGAAUGACAGUUCGAUUCCUCAUUAAAUGUUGUUGUGGGAAAUAUAUGAGAGUUUUAAGUAUGUGAAUUGUCGAAGGAAAUCUAAAUGUGGUUUGUACCUUGUUAGGCGGUGAUAGAACGUGAUGCCUUGACUCUCAUGUUUGAGUGCGUUAGUGUGGAUCUCGGGUGAGUAAUUCUAAUCUAUGUGUUAUGGUUAUUGCUUUGAAAUCUUUUGUGCUAAUAAACUUUGUGGUUACACUAUGGAUUCUUAAAAUAGUUCUGAUGCUAAAUAAUUGUUGCUAGUAAGUUGUCGUCGAUCUACUUAUGAAACAUUAGGUGACUUAGAUAAUUGAACUAUGAUGGAUUGUGUUUUGAGAUAUAUAUGUGAUGGUUGAUAAAAAUGAUGGAUUGUGUUUUGGGAUGUAUAUGUGAUGGAUGAUACAAAUGAUGGAUUGUGAAGGACCAUUACCCUAGUGUCAUGGGGUUAGGUGACACUAAGUCUGCACCACGUAGCAAUGGUCCUGGAUGGUCCUGCUUGGUUAAUCCGCGUUAGGGGACCAUACUAUUUGUGGAUCGCGCUUGGUUAAUCCGCGUUGGGCGAUCCUUAUAUCCUAGGUAUGGCCAUACACAUUUAAAGGUGAUCAUGCUUGGUUAAUCUGCAUUGGGUGAUCACCUUCCAAUAGUUAUAGGAGUGACUCUGCUUAGUUAAUCCGCAUUGGGGGGUCACUACCUAUUUGGUUAUUUUCUCAGGGGUGACUCUGCUUGGUUAAUUUGCAUUGGGGGGUCACUACCUACUUGGUUACUUUCUUAGGGGUGGCUUUGCUUGGUUGAUCCACUUUGGGGGGCCACUUCCUAUUUGAUUACUUGCGUAGCCUUCGGCCGAACAACGUCUCUCUAACUCUAGUUUUGAAUAUAUCUGUGAAUGUGGCUUUGAGAACUCUGAGUUUUGAUUUAGAAAACUCGUUGGAUGUAUGUGUGACCCCUUCGGAGGUUGCAAGGUUUGGUAGCGAUUUCUUAUAAAUGAUUUAUAUUCAAGGUUUAUAAUUGUGAAUGAUGGUUGGUUUUAUUAUUAGUAUUAUAUACUUGUAUUAUUUAUCGCUCACACAAGCUUCGAGCUUAUCCGGGUUGUUGUUUGCCUGGUGCACCAUUUCGAUGGUGUAGGCACUGAUCCUACAGGUAACAAGUCUGAGUAGCUUCGAGAGGUUCGUAGGUGGGGUAGAGGUACAGUUAUCAGAGAUUUGGAGUGCUGGGUUACCCCUAUAUCCUAUCUUGUACUUUAUCUUUGGGACUUUCUUUUGAGCACCUCAAUCUUGUUCUUAGUAAAGCAAAGAUUAUACUUCUUUUUGGGAUGUACAUAUUUGUAAAUAUUUUGUGGAGAACUUAGCCACCUUCAUAUUAUUUUGGUUUAUCAGUUAAAGUAUUUUAUUCCGUAACUUAUACCGUAUUCAACGGACAUUAAUUUCCUUGUCACGUGUCGAUUCUCGACGUAUAUUGGGAUCGGGGCGUGACAUCAGUACAUUAGAUACAUAUUAUAUGCAUUGUUUAUGUUGUUGAAUCCAAGAUAAAUGCAGAAGUGGAACCAUAUUAUGGUCGCAUCUUUCUAACUUAAGCCAUCUUCAACUGAUGGCUGGCCAGAGGGCUUGUUUUAGUCCUUUGACCCUCCAAGAAAUUAAUAUUUUAAUGAACAGUACAUGGUUGUAUUUGCCUCGGUCUCCAACCAAUGGUCAAAGGGUCAUAGGGCUCGUUUUAGCCCUGUUACAAAAAACCGUCUUCAACCGAGGACCAUAGGGUCAAACAUAAUUUUUAUGUUCGUUAAUGUUAUUUAAUAUUGUUACAUAUUGUUUAAUGUUGUUUCAUGUUAUUUAAUUUAAAUUUAUGUUGUAUAAUGGCUUAGGAAGUUAAAGGAAAAAAAAAAAGAAUUUCGAAAAAAUAUGAAACAAAUUUUGUAAAAUAGAAGUUAUAGGAAAAAAAAAUAGAAUGAAGUGAGAUUGUAUGGAAUGGUGAAAAUUAUGUGAGAAAUGGUGUAGGAAUGACUUAGGUAUUUAUAGGAAAAAAAAAAGUUUCAAUUCAUUAAAAAAAAAUUGAAUACAACGGCUAGUCAUUUAGCCAUUAGAUUCAAAUUUUUGUUUAAGCAUUCAUGUCGGUUAUAACCGACGGGAAUGUAUUUAUAUUAUAAAUACAUUCCCGUCGUUUAUAACCUACAUGAUUGCUCUAAUUUUCUGGCCAGCCCGGGUUGGUUGGCUGGCUGGCUGCAUGAGGCCAGCCCUUUGGCCCUUAUAGAUUAUGUGGGGUCCACGAGCCAUCUAGCCUAGCCUUCGGUUGGAAACGGUUUUCGGGCUAUUUUCGGCUUUCUGGCCCUCUAGACCCUUCGGUUGAAGAUGACCUUAUGUCAUUUUUUUGUAGCUUUCUUCCUUCCUUUCAUAUUUUGGAAUUAACAUUUGUGAAGCACGUCUUCUUGACGACCGAUGGCUACUCUUUAGAUGUAUUUAUGGUGGAUGGAUGGCCUGUUGAGGUAGUUUUCUUUUACGAUAUAAUGUGUUUAUUGUCAUUCACUGUGUCCUUUCUACUAUCAGAGUUUUGUAUCUUGAAAUUUUGCAUGUUAAUAUAUUAUUAAAUGAGUAAUGUCCUAUACACGAAACAUUGGAUGACCUUUCUUAAAAUAUAUGCUGCUACAAUAUACCAAUUUUGGUUGGCUAUGGAUUUUGCUAUACUGCAAGCUAUUUAUGUGCUUUCUUUUUGUAUGCAUGGAUGAACAUAUUUUAGUCAGUGUUUAUCUAUGAUCUGUAAUAUGGAUUGUUGUUGUGAUUACAAGUUAGUUUUAUACUCAUUUUAAAAAUUAUGCAUCGAAGUUAAUCUCUUACUUAAAGUUUACAUUUUUUGCGCAUGAUGCCAAAAAGGAAUAGAAAUAGCAAAAUAAAUCAGAUGGUACAAUAUCAUACUUCUGGCACUCCCCGUAACAGAACGCGGGCUUUUUUGCUCGUGUAUUUACUAUAAGUUCGUCCCAAAUACAAAUAUAUAGUUUCACAAUAUUAAUAACACAUAGGAACAAAAUAUAACUAGAGCUACAUAUAAUUUCACAAGAUUAAUAAUAAACAUAAAGACCAAAUAUAAAGAGCGAGCAAUCCCCUUGGAAAUAUGAUAAGAUAUAUAAAAAUCGAAUAGUACAAUAGACGCCAACCUCUUAGUUAGCUUCAAAGAUAAGAUGUGGUGGGAGGAUUUUCUCAGGAUUCUCUUUGUGAGAAUUUUGAAAAUUUUUUAAUCGUGACCAUUUAUCUUAUAUCGUGCAAUCAGUUUUUGUCAGAUAUUGUUUAUAUUUAAUUUUAAAUAAAAAAAAAUUACAAUGAUUUCUGACCUCACGAUCAAUGUCUAAAAUAUCGAUAUUAUCCCGAUAUUUCCAUUGAAAUUUCCGUGUUUUUGGACUACCGAUAUUUCCGAUAUCAUCGAUAUUUUAGACCUUGAUAGGAACUCUAUGUGGUACUAAGUCACUCAUAUAUCUUACCAUGCAAUGUAUGAAGUGUAAAAUAUUAUACUAAUUCAUUAUAUAUAAAUGAUUAUGGUGUGUUUAAACUUCUUUCAUUAAUUACUACAUAUUUUCUACACUCACAAUGUUUGCCAGCUCGCUAUAUAAUCAACUUAAAUCAGUUAAAUUCAUCAUGCAAUGCAUUUCCUUCCAAUUUUUUUGUGAUAAACUAAUAGAUAAUUAACUAAAUAAAUAUCCUGCAAAGUUUCAAUAAAAAUUUUCAAGUUUUUCUUACAAUUUCCGUGGUUUUUAUUCAAUUUUUAUCGAUAUUGAUAAUAUCCCGAUAUUUCCAUCGAAAUUUCCGUGUUUUUGGACUACCGAUAUUUCCGAUAUCAUCGAUAUUUUAUACCUUGCUCACGAUAUACGAUAAACGGACAUUAUUGAAGGAUCAUCAAGAUCCUCACAAAGAGGAUCUAGAGAGGAUCCUCAUGUGUUUCAUUUGUUUCCUGUUUAGGCCCACUUUAGAACUUACUAGCAAAAAUGCCCGCGCGUUGAUGCGGGACUUGAAUGCUACAACCUUAACCACAUGAAUAAUUUCCGCACAAUAAUUUAAAAGAUGGUGUACUACAUAAGAACCAAUGAAGAAAAAUUUUGCUCGCUAUAUAUGGACAUGCAUGCUAUAAGAAAGCACUCAUUUGUAGAUCGUAUUGCGCCAUCAGUAUUAUACUCAUAGUUUAAAUUGGUCAGCGCAUUACAUGGGGGAAAACACAUAAAAAAGAAAAGCAGAAACGUAGAAGACAUAAUAUUUGAGCAUCUGGCAAGAAUAGUAAGUUUCUGAAAAAACUACUAAACCAUCGCACAAAUUCAAUCAUUAAACGUUACACUAUGAGCCAAGAUAAAGAGGGAGUAUCAAAACAAACUGCUAUCAAAGGAAAAUGUUUAAGAUGAUGAAAAUACUAAACUGGAUUGGGCAACCAUAUUUUCUAUCGGUAACUAAACGAAUAAUUUAGAAUUAUACAAACCCGAUUCUAGCUCAUCUGGUUCCUUUCAUCCUUAGAUUUGUAUUUCAAAGGCUGAAUACCCAAGUUUGCAGAAGUUGCCAAAUAAUCGCCAUCUGAAGAUUGAGAAAAAGCCAUAUUCACAUCGAAGAAAACUUUACAUAAAAGAGGUCAAAUUAACAUAUUUAAAGUAUUAAGAUGCAAACAUUCUUAAGAUAGAUCAAGCAAAAAAAAUUAAAAGAAUCCAAUCAAAAUACAAAAGGAAAAGGAAUUAAAGAAAAGUUACAGUUUAAGUAUUUCAAAUUAGUGAUUAAUCAACCAAACAAUCAGUCUCAAUGAUCUAUAUCAUGGACAUAAUAUAGAAAUACAAGUAAACUCUGUAAACUAUCAACUCCUCAACUCCAUCACACUCCCUCCUUUGUUUCUAAUUUACCUCUCCUUCGAGCUUCUCGAUUACAAAUUUAUAUAUAGCAAACUGAACUGUCUAUUUCAAAUCAAAUAUAUACAGGCAGAAAAGCAAAAACUAAACUCCCGCCACAUAAAUUAAUCAAUAAUCAAACAAAGAAAAAUUCUUGCAGACCAGAACAAAUCCAAUUGGAUUUUCAUGUGAGUGAUUGUAAUUGCCAAAAACAAAGACAUAUAUUUAAGUGCCUAAAAUUUAAGCUUUACAUCAUAAUAUAUUCUUCUAACACAAAUGAAAGAAAUGAAUUGUCCAUUUCAAAUCAAAUAUACACAGGCAGAAAAGCAAAACUAAACUCCCGCCACAUAAAUUAAUCAAUAAUCAAACAAAGAAAAAUUCUUGCAAACCAGAACAAAUCCAAUUGGAUUUUCAUGCGAGUGAUUGUAAUUGCCAAAAACAAAGACAUAUAUUUAAGUGCCCAAAAUUUAAGCUUUAAAUCAUAAUAUAUUCUUCUAACACAAAUGAAAGAAAGACGGAUCAAAUUAUUAAGAAAUGUAAGUUAGAGUUGCUAAAUUCACUUUCAUGUGUACGAUUCAAACUUCGACACAUUUAUUCAUACUUUUACCAAUUUUCAGACAUCGCUGAUUGCCAAGAUAGCAAGAUAAUGAAUUCUAUGAACGAAAAAAAUGACAUGCAACUUCAACUUACCAUGCCAAAGAAGCUCCAUAAGAGUAGUAGCUCCCUCUUUAUUGCAUGUAUCAAAAGCAUUGCAACCGUAGAUCCUGGAAAUUAUAAAAAUCCAUCCAAUCAAGAGACAAUAUAAUAGUUGUGGGAAGGUGAGUAUGCAACCACAAAUCUAAGAUAUAUUUGAUUCGGGAUUCCAUUAUAAUUUCACAAAAAAACAAAAAGAUCAAAAUUUGAUUAAAACAUCCAACAAAAUCCCAUCUAUUACAGAUUGAACCAACCAAAUAAAGAAUCUAUUGAUAUGAUUUUCAACCUAACUUUACAAAGGAGCUUUAUAACAGCGCAAUCAAUAUCAUCUAAACCCAACUAAAAAGAAACUGAUUGUAUGCUAUAAAUUCCAUGAGUAAUUUGAUUUUGCAGAUUAAAAAGUCAAAGAAUAUUGAAAAUUACUAAAAUCCUGUAUACAAACUCACACAAAAGGGUGUUUAUUUUCUGAAAAUACUAUUCAAUUCCAAGUAUUUGGGUUUACUUGAUAUCAUGUGAAAUCCCAUUUAGAGAAUGUUGAUAAUUUAUUAGUCUAAUCAUCAGUAAAAACUUCCAAGCAAUGUGCAAAACACUUUAAGCAUUAUCAUUUCAAAAAUGAACACACGGCGUUUCAGUGCACCCGUAUGAUACACAGGUGGGCUGUAUCACAUGUAUCAGGAUUCCCACAUGCAUCACAUGUAUUCAUUAAACUUAAGGGAAAAAAUGAACACGUGUGGUUUUCAUGGAGCACACACUACAGAUGAGAAGAAAAAAAAAGAAGGCAAUUUUCACUUCAAAAAAAAUCUUCCAAUAUAUUUACACAGUAGUAAAUUAAUUGCACAAAAAUGAAAAUAUGAGAAAUAAAAAACAUAUGCAAAUAAAAGCCGGGAAUAUAAAAGAACUGAUUGAAUGACUUUACACUUAACCCAUCUUUUGAAGAGCAAUUUUGGAUUUUUGUUUGGUAUUGUCGGACUCUCCUCCAGAAAGUCACUUCUUUUUUUUUUCUGAUUACCCAGGUCGCAAUCAACCUGAGAAGUCCUGUAGUCAAACACCAAAACAAAAUUCGAUCAACACAAUAUUUUAAUUGGAGGGGAGUCGAGAGCAAUUCUAUGACUUUAGCAAACAUGCAUAUUAUUUUCUUAGUCCAAAUAUGAAUUUGACAUCAUCUCUUGCAAAACCACCAACCAAUAUCACUUCUCAAAGAAAUUAUACAUAGAAGAGAGCGAAGGGUUACCCAACAAUCUCUGAAUUUAAUUGCACUGUUCAAUUGUGAACCGGAAUCUGUGCUUUCUUUCCCUCUUGACUUUGAACUCCGCUUUAUUUUUUACAAAAAUAACAAAUCAAAUCAACAAAAAUUAAUUAAAAACUUCAACUGGGUAAUCGAAAAGAGAAGAUUAAAUAGCCCAAAAAUAUUAAUAAAUAUUAAACACUAUAAUACAUCGGGAAAACCCCAAGUUUAAAAAACCCAAACACCAUAAUUAUAUUGGGAAAAAUCCUAAAUCCUUCAUUGCAACAAACCCCAAAACCCAAUUACUGUUCCAGGUGCCAUGCACAGUUUUUUGUUAUAAGAAAAAAGUAACCCCAAUCCCAAAUUAAGCAGAGAAAUCACUUCAUAAUCCCUAAAUACUGGAAAAAAAAAAUCUUUGAAAGGGAAGCUUCCGGGUGUCAUACACAUAUUUAUAAGAAAAAAAUAACCUCACUCCCAAAUUAAGCAGAGAAAUCACUUCAUAAUCCCUAAAUACUGGAAAGAAUGAAUCUUUGAAAGGGAAGCUCACCACUCCUAUCAUAGGGCGUGAGCACAAACAGCUUUAAAGGGUGCAAACAAAAGCCCCAAAAAACAAAAAACUAGAGUCUCCUGAAAGUGAACACAAAACUAAAUUAAACAACAGAAUAACAGGCUACAAACAAAACCCCCCAACACAAUCCCAAAUGGAAGGAAAGGGUAAAUGGAAGAAGAAGAGAUGUGACAGAGAGGGGGAGAUACAAUCCCUCAACCCCACCCUCUCUUUGCAGCCGACACACUUGUUCCCUCAACCCUACCCUCAAACCCUGCACCCAAUCAACUCUCUUUCUGUCCCCCUAAUCGUGCACCCGCCCUCACUCUCUCUCUUCAACCAACCCCCUCCCCUAUCUCCCCCAAAUCACGCCCCCACAACAUCCCAUCAGUGAAGAAGCAAAUCCAAAAGUAAAUUGCAGUUACCUAUUACGGUAGGAUUAAAAUAAGAAUCUCCAAAUAGAAAGACAAAGGAUAUAAUACAACAGAUAGCUCACCAAAAAGUUGCAUCCCCUUCACAGUGGUGAUACAUUUCCGCUUAUUACGCAUGGCUUUUUCAAUUGUAAUUUCUUGCUUCUCCUGCAGAAAAAACACAACAGAACAGAUUUCAAUAACCACUCAUACCUAUUCCAUCUCUAGAACUAAAACUUUCAGUUAUUUAUCUAUAUAUAAAUAUUGAUUAUGAUCACAUUUUGAUCAUCGAUAAAAAAUACAAAUAAUUGUAUAUUUGCACAAUCAAAUAUUUAUGGAACUCACAACCGAGAGCCAGAGCUUCAAUUCCUGUGAAAACACCCUUCUCUCAAACCCUUGGCGACAAAUUCUUACAUCAUCUAUACCGUAAACUUGAUCAAUCAAUCAAAGAUUUAUAAAACUUUAGAAUUUUAACCUCAAUUGCAACAUGCAGACCCAAAAUUGAUCCAAAUCAAAGUUGAAGAAUCCUAAUAAGAACAAAGGCGCUAAACUAUAGAACUUGGGUAUUUCUUAAAACCCCUAACCCAUGAUAUUUUAAAUCCUUAAAUUUUCUAACCACCGAAACACUAUCCAACUAACAUGAUUAAAGAAAUUGCUAAUUACAAAUGGGGAAAACUAUAGCCCAUGGGUAGUUCCUUAAAUCCCAUCAUGUUUUCAAUUCCAAAAUUUCUCGUCAUUUAGGAAAAUCACUAAGCUUGUCUACCCUGAACUGUGCACCUAAUAAUAGUGAAAGGAAAGAAAAAAAUAAGAUAAAAAAAAUACAUAGCUAUUCGGCCCUAACUGCAUCCUAUCUAAAACGCACUAAAAUGCCAGUGAUAAAGUUUGGAACUCAGCAUUGUAUAACAUUUACAGAUUACAACCAACAUAAAUUUGUGAAAAGCGAAACCACCCCAUUGUUUUGAAUGUUGUUAUUUUAGGAAACCUUGCAAAUCACAAUGAAUAGCAUCUGAUAACCUUAAAUAGGGCCAAGAAUUUCGACUCACCAUCCUCCUUUAGCACAGAGCAACUCGCUUCCUUAGCAAAGUAGCAAACCGAGAUAACACGCUGCUAUUGAAGAAUGUAUCCAUUGCCACACAGCUGAACAUCACAAAGAAAAUUAAACAAAAAAAUUAAACAUUCACAAUGCAAAAUCCAAACUAAACACAAAAUCAAUGCUUUCAAAGUCGUAUG
rnacentral:lncRNA from 1 species